rnacentral:lncRNA from 1 species
GUCCAAAACUUGGGGAACAUCAUAAUAUUGUGGGAGGAGUCAUUUGGUGGGUUUUGAGUGAAAUCCAAUCCCUAGAACUGUACAAUACACCAACAACUCCAUUUCAAAACACAGUUUGCACGAACCUGAAUUGGCCGAUUUCAUAGACCAACCGAUAUCGGAUUGAGUCCAAAAUUUGGGGAACAUCGUAAUAUUGUGGGAGGAGUCAUUUGGUGGGUUUUGAGUGAAAUCCAAUUGUCAAAACUUUGCAAUACACGAACCACUCCAUUUCUGAACGAACCUCGUACGAACCUAAAUUGUCCGAUUUCAUGGACCAAUCGAUAUCGUAUUGAGUCCAAAACUUGGGGACCAUCAUCAUAUUGUGGGAGGAGUGAUUUGGUGGUUUGUGAGUGGAAUCCAAUAUCUGGAACUAUACAAUACACAAACCACUAAAUUUCAAGACAAACUUCGUACGAACCUGAAUUGUCCUAUUUCAUGGACCAAUCGAUUUUGGAUUGAGUCCAAAACUUGGGGAACAUCAUAAUAUUGUGGGAGGAGUCAUUAGGUGAGUUUUGAGUGAAAUCCAAUUGCCAAAACUAUGCAAUACACCAACCACUCCAUUUUAGAACGAACCUCGUAUGAACCUGAAUUGUCCGAUUUCAUAGACCAAUCGAUAUCGGAUUGAGUCCAAAACUUGGGGAACAUUUUAAUAUUGUGGUUGGAGUAAUUUGGUGGGUUUUGAAUGAAAUCCAAUCUCUAGAACUAUAUAAUACACCAACCACUCCAUUUUAGAACGAACUUCGUACGAACCUGAAUUGUCCGAUUUCAUGGACCAAUCGAUAUCGGAUUGUGUCCAAAACUUGGUGAACAUCAUAAUAUUGUGGGAGGAGUCAUUUGGUGCGUUUUGGGUGAAAUGCAAUCUCUAGAACUAUACCAUACACCAACCACUCGAUUUCAAAAUGAACUUCGUACGAUCCUGAAUUGUCCGAUUUCGUGGACCAAUCGAUAUCUGAUCGAGUCCAAAACUUGGGGAACAUCAUAAUAUUGUGGGGGAGGUCAUUUGGUGAGUUUUGAGUGAAAUCCAAUUGCCAAAACUAUGCAAUACACCAACCACUCCAUUUUAGAACGAACUUUGUACAAACCUGAAUUGUCCGAUUUCAUGGACCAAUUGAUAUUGGAUUGAGUCCAAAACUUGGGGAACAUCACAAUGUUGUGGGAGGAGUCAUUUGGUGAGUUUUGAGUGAACCCAAUUGCCCAAUCUAUGCAAUACACCAACCACACCAUUUCAAAAUGAACCUCGUACGAACCUGAAUUAUCCGAUUUCAAGGACCAAUGAUAUUGGAUUGAGUCCAAAACCUGGGGAACAUCAUAAUAUUGUUGGUGGAGUCAUUUGGUGGGUUUUGAGUGAAAUCUAAUGUUGAGCCUUUCCUUAACCACUAAAAUGAGUCCUCGCAAGUGCAGGAACCGUUUAUAGUAUAGCUUGUGUAAAUACGAGGUCGAUCCCACGGAGAAUGGUAACUUGGUUCCAAGUUAAAUUACUUAGAAUGCUGGAAAAACAGAAAAUAAAGAAACUGACUGACUAACUAAAGGCAAGGUCGAAUUCAACAAUGUCUCUUGCUAAUUACUCAAGGUCUAGGAUAGAGUCCUAGCACUACACACGCACUCGAAAUGGGGGGUUUUGUUGUUGAAAUGAAAACAAGAAAGUGAAAUAAAAGUACUGGAAAGUAAACACUAGCAGCAAUCAAGAAGUUGUGAAACAGUGAUUGAGAGUUGUUAGAGCCUUGGAAUCCACCACUAGUCUUCCUAUUCAAGUUAUGAAUGCAUAGAAAUUGACUCAAGCUUCAUCAACAAUAGAUUAUCUCAUACAAACCUAUGGUAUCUAGGUGCAGGAUGCAUGAUUCUCCUAAGGCAUGUGAUUGUGCAUGGUAUCUACACAACACGUGAUCUCUAAUAUGCAACCUAAGCAUGGUAUCUACUUAGAAUAAAGCAUACAAGAGUCAUUAAGCUCCUUGAGAAUAUGAUAAUCACACAAGUCCUAGAACAUGGUAUCUGUCCUAGUCAACCUAUGCUUAUUAACCCCUUGAAUGAUUCUUAGGCCAUUCAUGUGUUGCUUGUGAAAGGAGAGUAGAAUUGGUAAAUCUAAACCCUUUCCCAACCUGUGCUAGAUGCAUAAAAUCCUAGUUAGCUACUCCAGGAAAAUAUACAUCAAGCACAUAAUAAACUGGAGAUUAACAACUUGAUAAUGAAAGCAAGGAAAUCAAUUAACUAUAAAAUCAUCCAUAACAUUGAAUAUUCAUGACUAGGGCUUCAUCCUAAGCCCUAACUAAAUGGAUUAGUUAGACAUAACUAUGAAUAUAGAAGAUAAGAAAUACAUAGAUAGAAUAAAAAAAAAAAGAGAAGAAUUAGAUGGUGGCAACAAGGUAGUUCCCAGGACAGCUCCAAGGUCUCCCUCCUUUGCAACUAGCUCCCUUCUCUCUUGUGGUAAAUCUGAAUGUGUGAGUGAUGGAUGAAAAUGAAUCUAUCUCUCUUCUACAUCUCUCCUUUUUUUUUGAAUGAGUGUGCAGCUCUCCAUUUAUUGAGUGCCAAUUUCGUCGACCCUCUAGCUGGUGAAACACACCUCUGUUAGCUGCUCCUAAUUGCCUAAGCUGCCCAAUAAAUGCCAACUGCUCCAGCUGCCCAAUAAAAGCCAAUUGCUCCAGCUGCCCAAUAAAUGCUUUGGUGAACUAUUCUUGGUCUCUUUAUGGCAAGCUUGACUUUUGUUCAUUUUUCUGAGUUCCCAAGCUGAUUUGUCUCCCACGUGUGGCUGCUCUUAUGUGUAGCACAUGGCUCUAGGGAUGUAGCCACAUUAAAUGUGAUGGCAGCCAACUAUGACUUUUCUGUGAACUUGGUUGAGUCAUUGACGUGCUGAGGGCUCCAGAUUUAUCCAAUUGGGCUGAACUUUGGAUAUGUUAUAAUAGACACCCAUUGAAACAACUUCUAUCAAGGAUGUCUUCUCAUCCGACCUGUGUAAGUUUCUGAAAUGAGGCCUGCAAGAUGACCAAUGAACAUCAUAAUAUUGUGGGAGGAGUCAUUUGGUGGGUUUUGAGUGAAAUCCAAUCUCUAGAACUAUACAAUACACCAACCAAUCCAUUUCAUAACGAACUUCGUACGAACCUGAAUUGUCCAAUUUCAUGGACCAAUUGAUAUCGCAUUGAGUCCAACACUUGGGGAACGUCAUAAUAUAGUGGGAGGAGUCGUCAUUUGGUGGGUUUUGAGGGAAAUCCAAUUUCUAGAACUAUACAAUUCACCUACCACUCUAUUUCAUAACAAACUUCGUACGAAACUGAAUUGUCUAAUUUCAUGGACCUAUCGAUGUCGGGUUGAGUCCAAAACUUGGAGCACAUCAUAAUAUGGUGAGAGGAGUCAUUUGGUGAGUUUUGAGUGAAAUCCAAUUUGUAAAACUAUGCAAUACACCAACUACUCCAUUUCAUAAUGAACUUCGUACGGACCAGAAUUGUCCAAUUUUUUGUAUCAAUCGAAAUCAGAUUUAGGCCAAAACUUGGAGAACGUCAUAAUAUAGUUGGAGGAGUCAUUUGGUGGGUUUUGAGUGAAAUCCACUCUCUAGAACUGUGCAAUACACCAACCACUCCAUUUCAUAACGAGCUUCCUACGAACCUGAAUUGUCCAAUUUAAUGGCCCAAUCAAUACCGGAUUGAGUCCAAAACUUGGGUAACAUCAUUAUAUAGUGGGAGGAGUCUAUUCGUGGGUUUUGAGUGAAAUCCAAUGGCAAAAACUGUGAACUACACCAACCAAUACAUUAGAGAACGAACUUCGUACGACCAUCCAAUUUCUUGGACGAAUUGAUAUCGAAUUGACCGCAAAACUCGCACGAACAUCUUAAUAUAGUGGGAGGAGUCAUUUGGUGGGUUUUGAGUGAAAGCCAGUAGCGAAAACUAUGAAAUACACCAAUCACUCCAUUAGAGAAAGAACUUCGUAAGAACAUGAAUAGUCCAAUUUCUUGGAUCAAUCGAUAUCGACUUGAGCCCAAAACUUGAGGAAUAUCAUAAGAUGGUGGGAAGAGUCAUUUUGUGAGUUUUGAGAGAAAUCCAAUGGCUAAAACUAUGCAAUACACUAACCACACCAUUUCAUAACGAACUUCGUACGAACCUGAAUUGUCUGAUUUCGUGGACCAAUCGAUAUCGAAUUGAGUCCAAAACUUGGGGAACAUCAUAAUAUAUUGGGAUGAGUCAUUUGGUGAGGUUUGAGUGAAAUCCAAUCUCUAGAACCGUACAAUACACCGACCACUCCAUUUCAUAAAGAACUUCGUACGAACCUGAAUUGUUCAAUUUCAUGGACCAAUCGAUAUCGAAUUGAGUCCAAAACUUGGGGAACAUCAUAAUAUAGUGGGAGUUGUCAUUUGGUGGGGUUUGAGUGAAAUCCAAUCUCUAUAACGAUGCAAUACACCAACCACUCCAUUUCAUAACGAACUUCAUACAAACCUGAAUUGUUCAAUUUCAUGGACCAAUCAAUAACGGAUUGAGUCUAAAACUUGUGGAACAUCACAAUGUUGUGGGAGGAGUCAUUUGGUGAGUUUUGACUGAAAUCCAGUCGCCAAAACUAUGCAAUACAUCAACAUAUGGUUAGUAUAGUGGUGCAAGUAAGGGUGUCGAACCAUAGGGACCGAUUGGACCUCUAUAAAUUACUAGUUUUGAAAGAACCCUAGAUAAAAAUGAAAGUGACAAUUUGAAAGUAGUUUUUGUGUUGUAAAUGAAAAAUAACUUAACAUGCAAGAAGAAUGUAGCAGUGAAUGAUAUAUUGAUGUAGAAAGAAUAGGGAUGAGACCUGGGAUUUCGAAUUCACCAUUGCAAAACUAAUUCCAUGUUUAUAAAAUUAAACCGUACUCAACUACCAACCUGUUUCCAGAGUUCGUUUUACAUAUAUAUGAUCAGCCAUAUGAUGUGUAGUUUUGAUCAAAUUCUCCUAAUCUGCAACCUAGUUGGAAUGUUCAACUUUGGUUCCAAGUUAAGAAUCAUUAAGAUGCAAGUAAACGUCAAAGAACUAAAGAAAACACACAGCAUGAUGUUUGCAUAGCAUUCUCUUCAUUCAUUCACAUGUCUACCAAGAUUAAGCAUGAUGUUUACUAUAACCUUGUCUAGAUAAUCUGUAGGCGAUUCUAAUGGUGAUCAAACAUUAAAAUUGACAAACAAAUUGAAAAAUAGAUUCAGUGAAUGAAACAAGAAACAGAUUGAUGAACUUAAUACUUUAACUUAGAAACAUGGAUCAAUGUUGCAAGGCUACAUCGAAAUCCCUAGCUAUGAAUUUAGUUACACAUCAUGUUCAAAGAGAUUAAAACAAAAAUAAACAACAUGAGUGAAAAUAAAUUCAUGAGAGGAAACCCUUGAACCAAUUCUGAUGUUGAACUUCUCCAAGAACUACCUCUUGCGCUGAGUCCUGAUGGUGGAAAUAUAUGGACGGCUAGGGUUUUAGUGUACAUGAAAGGAGAGAAUAUCCACGAAGUGAGUUCUAGGGUUGUGAAAUUCGUCCAAAAUAAAUAGGGGUUUUAAAAGUGGCUAAAAGGCAAGUUUUUAUGGGGUAAAAGAGGCUGCAAGAUAUUCCAAAGAGAUCCUAACAAAUUAGCCUUUAUUUUGCACGUUUUUGCCUUAUUUGGCACCUCCAAAUCAGGCUAGAAAUCCCCAUUGCUUUCCCAUUCUGCUCUUAGUCUUCAACCAAGCCAGGUUCGCCUCGGAUUCUUUAUUUGGCCUUCAAAACAGGUCAAGAAACUUGUUUCCAUGUUUGAAUAAGGGUCAGCUCCAAAAAUGGCAUGUUUUCAUUUCUUUUGCCUUCAACUUGAUCCUAAAGUAGAUGCAACUGCAUACUAACACAAAAUAGGGUAAAAUGCAACAACUUUAACUCAAAAACAUCACAAAUAUACCAGAAAUUGAUGGUAUAAAUGUAUAAAUACAUGAGUUAUCGCCAAUCCCUAGAACCAUACAAUACACCAACUACUCCAUUUCAGAACGAACUUCGUACGAACCUGAAUUGUUCAAUUUCAUGGACCAAUCCAUAUCGAAUUGAGUCCAAAACUUGGGGAACAUCAUAAUAUAGUGGGACAAGUCAUUUGGUGGGGUUUGAGUGAAAUCCAAUCUCUAGAACGAUGCAAUACACCAACCACUCCAUUUCAUAACGAACUUCGGACAAACCUGAAUUGUCCAAUUUCAUGGACCAAUCGAUGUCGGAUUGAGUCCAAAACUUGGGGAACAUCAUAAUAUGGUGGGAGGAGCCAUUUGGUGAGUUUUCAUUUAAAUCCAAUGGCUAAAACUAUGCAAUACACCAACCACUCCAUUUCAUAAUGAACUUCGUACGAAACUGAAUUGUCCAAUUUCAUGGACCAAUCGAUGUCGGAUUGAGUUCAAAACUUGGGGAACAUCAUAAUACGGUGGGAGGAGCCAUUUGGUGAGUUUUGAGUUAAAUCCAAUGGCUAAAACUAUGCAAUACACCAACCAACCCAUUUCAUAACGAACUUCUUACGAAUUUGACUUGUCCAAUUUCAUGGACCAAUCAAUGUCAGAUUGAGUCCAAAGCUUGGGGAACAUCACAAAUGUUGUGGGAGGAGUCAAUUGGAGAGUUUUGAGUGAAAUCCAAUUACCAAAACUAUGCAACACACCAACCACUCCAUUUCUGAACGAACUUCGUACGAACCUGAAUUGUCCGAUUUCAUGGACCAAUCGAUAUCGAAUUGAGUCCAAAACUUCGGGAAAGUCAUAAUAUAGUGGGAGUAGUCAUUUGGUGGGGUUUGAGUGAAAGCCAAUCCCUAGAAAUAUGCAAUACACCAAGUACUCCAUUUCAUAACGAACUUCGUACGAACCUGAAUUGUCCAAUUUCAUGGACCAAUCGAUACCGGAUUGAGUCCAAAACCUGGGGAACAUCAUCAUAUGGUGGGAGGAGUCAUUUGGUUACUUUUAAGUGAAAUCCAAUGGCUAAAACUAUACAAUACACCAACCACUCCAUUUCACAACGAACUUCGUAUGAACCUGAAUUGUCCAAUUUGAUGGACCAAUUGAUAUCGGAUUGAGUCCAAAACUUGGGGAAUAUCAUAAUAUGGUGCGAGGAGUCAUUUGGUGGCUUUUGUGUGAAAUCCAAUGGCUAAAACUUAGAAAUACACAAACUACUCCAUUUCAUAAUGAACUUCGUACGAACCUGAAUUGUCCAAUUUCAUGGACUAAUCGAUAUCUGAUUGAGUCCAAAAGUUGGGGCAACAACAUAAUAUGAUGGGAUGAGUCAUUUGGGGACUUUUGAUUGAAAUCCAAUGGCUAAAACUAUACAAUACACCAACCACUCCAUUUCACAACGAACUUCGUACGAACCAAAAUUGUCCAAUUGCAUGGACCAAUCGAUAUCGAAUUGAGUCCAAAACUUGGGGAACAACAUAAUAUGGUGGGAGGAGUCAUUUGGUGGGUUUUGAGUGAAAUCCAAUCUCUAGAACAAUGCAAUACACCAAUCACUCCAUUUCAGAACGAACUUCGUACGAUCCUGAAUUGCCCAAUUUCAUGGAUCAAUCGAUAUUGGAUUGAGUCCAAAACUUGGGGAACAACAUAAUAUGGUGGGAGAAGUCAUUUGGUGGCUUUUGAGUGAAAUCCAAUGGCUAAAACUACGCAAUACACCAACCACUCCAUUUCGUAACGAACUUCGUAUGAACCUGAAUUGUCCAUUUUCAUGGACCAAUCGAUAUCGGAUUGAGUCCAAACCUUAGGGAACAUCAUAAUAACGUGGGAGGAGUCAAUUGGUGGGUUUUGAGUGAAAUCCAAUUUGUAGAACUGUGCCAUACACCAACCACUCCAUUUCAUGACGAACUUUGUACGAAACUGAAUUAUCAAAUUUCAUGGACCAAUCGAGAUCGGAUUGAGUCCAAAACUUGGGGAACACCAUAAUAUGGUGGGAGGAGUCAUUUGGUGGGUUUUGAGGGAAGUCCAAUCCUUAGAACUAUGCAAUACAACAAGCACUCCAUUAAAUAACGAACUUCGUACGAACCUGAAUUAUCCAAUUUCAUGGACCAAUCGAUAUUGGAUUGAGGCCAAAACUUGGGGAACAUCAUCAUGUGGUGGGACGUGUCAUUUGGUGACUUUUGAGUGAAAUCCAAUGGCUAAAACUACGCAAUUCACCAACCACUUCAUUUCGUAACGAACUUCGUAUGAACCUGAUUUGUCCUAUUUCGUGGACCAGUCAAUAACGAAUUGAGUCCAAAACUUGGGAAAUAACAUAAUAUGGUGGGAGGAGUCAUUUGGUGUCUUUUGAGUGAAAUCCAAUGGCUAAAACUACGCAAUACACCAACCACUCCAAUUCGUAACGAACUUCAUAUGAACCUGAAUUGUCCAUUUUCAUGGACUAAUCGAUAUCGGAUUGAGUCCAAACCUUGGGGAACAUCAUAAUAACGUGGGAGGAGUCAUUUGGUGGGUUUUUAGUGAAAUCCAAUUUCUAGAAUUAUGCAAAACACCAACCACUCCAUUUCUGAACGAACUUCGUAUGAACCUAAAUUGUCCAAUUUCAUGGACUAAUCCAUAUCGUUUGAGUCCAAAUCUUCGGGAACUAAAUAAUAUGGCGGGAGGAGUCAUUUGGUGGGUUUUGAGUGAAAUUCAAUCUCUACAACUAUGCAAUACACCAACCACCCCAUUUCAGAACGAACUUCGUACGAUCCUGAAUUGUCCAAUUUCAUAGACCAAUCCAUAUUCGAUUGAGUCCAAAACUUGGGGAACAUCAUAAUAUGGUGGGAGGAGUCAUUUGGUGGGUUUUGAGUGAAGUCCAAUCCCAAGACCUAUGCAAUACAGCAAGCACUCUACUAAAUAACGAACUUCGUACGAACCUGAAUUGUCCAAUUUCAUGGACCAAUCGAUAUUGGAUUGAGUCCAAAACUUGGGGAACACCAUCAUAUGGUUUGAGGUGUCAUUUGGCGACUUUUGAGUGAAAUACAACGGCUAAAACUAUGCAAUAUACCAACCACUUCAUUUCGUAAUAAACUUCGUAUGAACCUGAUUUGUCCAAUUUGAUGGACCAAUCGAUAUCGGAUGGAGCCCAAAACUUGGGGAACAACAUAAUAUGGUGGGAGAAGUCAUUUGGUGGCUUUUGAGUGACAUGCAAUGGCUAAAACUACGCAAUACACCAACCACUCCAUUUCUUAACGAACUUUCUAUGAACCUGAAUUGUCCAUUUUCAUGGACCAAUCGAUAUCGGAUUGAGUCCAAAACUUGGGCAACAUCAUAAUAUGGUGGGAGGAGUCAUUUGGUGGGUUUUGAGUGGAAUCCAAUUUCUAGAACUAUGCAACACACCAACCACUCCAUUUCAGAACGAACCUAAAUUGUUCAAUUUCAUGGACCAAUCGAUAUCUGAUUGAGUCCAAAACUUGGGGAACAUCAUAAUAUGGUGGGAGAGUCAUCUGGUGGCUUUUGGGUCAAAUCCAACGGCUAAAACUACGCAAUACACCAAUCACUCCAUUUUUGAACGAACUUCGUACGAUCCUGAAUUGUCCAAUUUCAUGGACCAAUCCAUAUCGGAUUGAGUCCAAAACUUGGGGAACAUCAUAAUAUGGUGGAAGGAGUCAUUUGGUGGGUUUUGAACGAAAUCCAAUCUCUGGAACUAUGCAAUACACCAAUCACUCCAUUUCAUAAUUAACUUCGUAUGAACAUGAAUUGUCCAAUUUCAUGGACCUAUCGAUAUCGGAUUGAGUCCAAAACUUGGGGAACAUCAUAGUAUGGUGGGAGGAGUCAUAUGGUGACUUUUGAGUGAAAUCGAAUGGCUAAAACUAUGCAAUACACCAACCACUCCAUUUCAAAACGAUCUUCGUAUGAAACUGAAUUGUCCAAUUUCAUGGACCAAUCGAUAUCGGAUUGAGUCCAAAACUUGGUGAACAUCAUAAUAUGAUGGGAGAAGUCAUUUUGUGGGUUCUGAGUGAAAUCCUAUGGCUACAACUAUGCAAUGCACGAACCACACCAUUUCAUAACGAACUUCGUACGAACCUGAAUUGUCGAAUUUAAUUGACCAAUCGAUACCGGAUUGAGUCCAAAACUUGGGAAACAUCGUAACAUGGUGGGAGGAUUCAUUUGGCGGGUUUUGAGUGAAAUCCAAUUUCUAGAACUUUGCAAUACACCAACCACUCUAUUUCAGAACGAACUUCGUACGAACCUAAAUUGUCCAAUUUGAUGGACCAAUCGAUAUCGGAUUCAGUCCAAAACUUGGGGAACAACAUAAUAUGGUGGCAGGAGUCAUUUGGUGACUUUUCAGUGAAAUCCAAUGGGUAAAACUUUGAAAUACACAAACCCCUCCAUUUCAGAACGAACUUCGUACGAACCUGAAUUGUCCAAUUUCACAGACCAAUCGAGAUAGGAUUGAGUCCAAAACUUGGGGAACAACAUAAUAUGGUGGGAGGUGUCACUUGGUGGGUUUUGAGUGAGAUUGAAUCUCUAGAACUAUGCAAUACACCAACCACUUCAGUUCAGAAUCAACUUCGUACGAACCAUAAUUGUCCAAUUUCAUGGACCAAUCCAUAUCGGAUUGAGUCCAAAACUUGGGGAACAUCAUAAUAUGGUGGCAGGAGUCAUUUGGUGGGUUUUGAGUGAAAUCGAAUCUCUAGAACUAUGCAAUACACCAGGCACCCCCUUUUAGAACGAACUUCGUAUGAACAUAAAUUGUCCAAUUUCAUGGACCAAUCGAUAUCGGAUUGAGUCCAAAACUUGGGGUACAUCGUAAUAUGGUGGGAGGAGACAUUUGGUGGGUUCUGAGUAAAAUCCAAUGGCUAAAACUACGCAAUACACGAACCACUUCAUUUCGUAACGAACUUCGUAUGAACCCGAAUUGUCCAAUUCGAUGGAGUAAUCGAUAUCGGAUUGAGUCCAAAACUUCGGGAACAUCAUAAUAUGGUGGGAAUAGUCAUUUGGUGGGUUUUGAGUGAAAUCCAAUCCCUACAACUAUGAAAUACACCAACCACUCCAUUUCACAACGAACUUCGUACGAACCAGAAUUGUCCAAUUUCAUGGUCCAAUCGAUAUCGGAUUGAGCCCAAAACUUGGGGAACACCAUAAUAUGGUUGGAGAGUCAUUUGUGUGUUUUGAGUGAAAUCCAAUCUCUAGAACUAUGCAAUAUACUAACCAAUCCAUUUCAUAACGAACUUCGUACAAACCUGAAUUGUCAAAUUUCAGGGACCAAUGGUUAUCGGAUUGAGUCCAAAACUUGGGGAAUGCCAUAAUAUGGUGAGAGGAGUCAUUUGGUGGGUUUUGAGUGAAGUCCAAUCCCUACAACUAUGUAAUAAACCAAGCACUCUAUUUCAUAACGAACUUCGUACGAACCUGAAUUGUCCGAUUUCAUGGACCAAUGAUAUCGGAUUGAGUCCAAAACAUGGGGAACAUCAUAAUAUGGUGGGAGGAGUCAUUUAGUUGGUUUUGAGUGAAAUCCAAUGGCUAAAACUACGCAAUACAUCAACCACUUCAUUUCAUAAUGAACUUCGUGCGAACCUGAAUUGUCCAAUUUCAUGGACCAAUCGAUAUCGAAUUGAGUAUAAAACUUGGGGAACAUCAUAAUAUGAUGGGAGAAGUCAUUUUGUGGGUUCCGAGUGAAAUCCAAUGGCUACAAAUAUGCAAUACACCAACCACUCCAUUUCAUACUGAACUUCGUACGAACCUGAAUUCUCUAAUUUCAUGGACCAAUCGAUAUCGGAUUGAGUACAAAACUUAGGGAACAUCAUAAUAUGAUGGGUGGAGUCUUUUUGUCAGUUUUGAAUGAAAUUCAAUCUCUAGAAAUAUGCAAUACACCAACCACUCCAUUUGAAAACGAACUUCGUACGAACCUGAAUUGUCCAAUUUCAUGGACCAAUCGAUAACGGAUUGAGUAGAAAACUUGAGGAACAUCAUAACAUGAUGGGUGCAGUCAUUUGGCCAGUUUUCAAUGAAAUUCAUUGACUAAAACUAUGCAAUACACCAACCACUCCAUUUCAUAACGAACUUUGUACGAACCUAUAUUGUUCAAUUUCAUGGACCAAUCGAUAUCGGAUUGGGUUCAAAACUUGGGGAACAUCAUAAUAUGGUGGGAAGAAUCAUUUGAUGGGUUUUGAGGAAAAUCCAAUCUCGAAAACUAUGCAAUACACCAACCACUCCAUUUCGUGACAAACUACGUACGAACCUGAAUUGUCCAAUUUCAUUGACUAAUCGAUAUCGGAUUGAGUACAAAACUUGGGGAACAACAUAAUAUGGUGGGAGGAGUCAUUUGGUGAGUUUUGAGUGAAAUCCAAUGGCUACAACUAUGCAAUACACCAGCCACUCCAUUUCGUAACAAACUUCAUACGAACCUGAAUUGUACAAAUUCAUGGACCAAUCAAUAACGGAUUGAGUACAAAACUUGGGGAACAUCAUAAUAUAUGAUGGGUGGAGUCAUUUGGUGAGUUUUUAAUCAAAUCCAAUUGCUAAAACUAUGCAAUACACCACCCACUCCAUUUCAUAAUGAACUUCGUACGAACUUGAAUUGUCCUAUUUCAUGGACCAAUCGAUAUCGGAUUGAGUGAACCCCACUUGCCAAAACUAUGCAAUACACCAACCGCUCCGUUAGAGAACGAACUUCGUACGAACAUGAAUCGUAUAAACAUCACAAUAUGGUGGGAGGAGUCACAUGGUGAGUUUUGAGAGAAAUCCAAUGCCUAAAAGAAUGCAGUACACCAACCACUCGCUUUCAUAACGAACUCCGUACCAACUUGAAUUGUCCGAUUUCAUGGACCAAUCGAUAUCGGAUUGAGUCCAAAACAUGGGGAACACCCUAAUAUGGUGGGAAGAGUCAUUUGGUGACUUUUGAAUGAAAUCCAAUGGCUAAAACUAUGCAAUAACCGACCACUCCAUUUCAAAGCGAACAUCGUACGAACCUGAAUUGUCCGAUGUGAUGGGCCAAUCGAUAUCGGAUUGAGUAUAAAACUUGGGGAACAUCAUAAUAUGAUGGCGGGAGUCAUUUUGUGAGUUUUGAAUGAAAUCCAAUCUCUAGAACUAUGCAAUACACCAACCACUCUAUUUCAUACUAAACUUUGUACGAACAUGAAUUGUCCAUUUUCAUGGACCAGUCCAUAUCUGAUUGAGUACAGAACUUGUGGAACAUCAUAACUUGAUGGGCGGAGUCAUGUGGUGAGUUUUGAAUCAAAUCCAAUGGCUAAAACUAUGCAAUACACCACCCACUCCAUUUUAUAACGAACUUCGUACGAACCUGAAUUGUCCAAUUUCAUGGACCAAUCGAUAUCGGAUUGAGUACAAAACUUGGGGAACAUCAUAACAUGACGGGUGGAGUCAUUUGGUUAGUUAUGAAUGAAAUCCAAUCUCCAGAACUAUGCAAUACACCAACCACUCCAUUUCAUACUAUACUUCGUACAAACAUGAAUUGUCCAAUUUCAUGGGCCAAUCCAUAUCGGGUUGAGUACAAAACUUGGGGAACAUCAUAAUAUGGUGGAAGGAGUCAUUUGGUGGGUUUUGAAUGAAAUCCAAUCUCUAGAACUAUGCAAUACACCAACCACUCCAUUUCGUAACGAACUUCGUACGAACCUAAAUUGUCCAAUUUCAUGGACCAAUCAAUAUCAGAUUAAGUCCAAAACUUGGGUAACAUCAUACUAUGGUGGGAGGAGUCAUUUGGUGGGUUUUGAGUGAAAUCCCAUCUCUAGAACUAUGCAAUACACUAACCACUCCAUUUCGUAACAAACUUCAUAUGAACCUGAAUUGUACAAAUUCGUGGACUAAUCGAUAACGGAUUGAGUACAAAACUUGGGGAACAUUAUAAUAUAUAAUGGGUGGAGUCAUUUGGUGAGUUUUGAAUCAAAUCCAAAUGCUAAAACAAUGCAAUACACCACCCACUCCAUUUCAGAAUGAACUUCGUACGAACCUGAAUUGUCCAAUUUCAUGGACCAAUCGAUAUCGGAUUGAGUGAACCCCACUUGCCAAAACUUUGCACCACACCAUCCACUCCAUUAGAGAACGAACUUCGUACAAACAUGAGUAGUAUAAACAUCACAAUAUGGUGGGAGGAGUCAUAUGGUGAGUCUUGAGAGAAAUUCAAUGCUUAAAACAAUGCAAUACACCAACCACUCCCUUUCAGAACGAACUUCGUACGAACUUGAAUUGUCCAAUUUCAUGUACCAAUCGAUAUCGGAUUGAGUCCAAAACAUGGGGAACACCCUAAUAUGGUGGGAGGAGUCAUUUGGUGACUUUUGAGUGAAAUCGAACGGCUAAAGCUAUGCAAUACACAGACCACUCCAUUUCAGACCGAACAUCGUAGGAACCUGAAUUGUCCGAUGUCAUGGACCAAUCGAUAUCGGAUUGAGUCCAACACAUGGGGAACAUCAUAAUAUGGAGGGGAGAGUCAUUUGGUGAGUUGAGAGCGAAAUCCAACGUCUAAUACUGUGCAAUACACCGACCACUCCGUUUCAGAAUGAACUUUGUACGAACCUGGAUUGUCCCAUUUAAUGGACCAAUCGAUAGCGGACUGAGUCCAAAACUUGGGGAACAUCAUAACAUGGUGGGAGGAGUUAUUUGGUGAGUUUUGAGUGAAAUACAAUGGCUAAAACUAUGCAGUACACCAAUCACUCCAUUUCAGAACGAACUUCUUACGCACCUGAAUUGUCCGACGUCCACCACCAAUCAAUAUCGGAUUGAAUCCAAAACUUGGGGAACAUCAUAAUACAGUGGGAGGAGUCAUUUGGUGCGUUUUGAGUGAAAUCCAAUCUCCAGAACAAUGCAAUACACCAACCACUCCAUUUCAGAGAAAACUUCGUACGAACCUGGAUUGUCCCAUUUCAUGGACUAAUCGAUAGCAGACUGAGUCCAAAACUUGGAGAACAUCAUAAUAUGGUGGGAGGAGUUAUUUGGUGAGUUUUGAGCAAAAUCCAAUGGCUAAAACUAUGCAAUACGCCAAUCACUCCAUUUCAGUACGAGCUUCUUACGCACCUGAAUUGUCCGACGGCCUCCACCGAUCAACAUCGGAUUGAAUCCAAAAUGUGGGGAACAUCAUAAUACAGUGGGAGGAGUCAUUUGGUGGGUUUUGAGUGAAAUCCAAUCUCUAGAACUAUACAAUACACCAACCACACCAUUUCUGAACGAACAUCGUACGAACCUGAAUUGUCCAAUUUCAUAGACCAAUCGAUAUCGGACUGAGUCCAAAACUUGGGGAACAUCAUAAUGUUGUGGGAGGAGCCAUUUGGUGAGUUUUGAGUGAAUUCUAAUUGCCAAAACUAUGCAAUACACCAACCACUCCAUUUCAUAAUGAACUUCGUACGAACCAAAAUUGUCCGAUUUCAUGGACUAAUCGAUAUCGAAUUGAGUCCAAAACUUGGGGAACAUCAUAAUAUAGUGGGAGGAGUCAUUUGGUGGGGUUCAAGUGAAAUCCAGUCUCUAUAACUAUACAAUACACCAACCACUCCAUUUUGAAACGAACUUCGUAGGAACCUGAAUUGUCCAAUUUCAGGGACCAAUCGAUAUCGAAUUGAGACCAGAACUUGGGGAACAUCCUAAUAUUGUGGGACGAGCCAUUUGGUGAGUUUUGAGUGAAAUCCAAUUGCCAAAACUUUGUAAUACACCAACUAAUCCAUUUCACAACGAACUUCGUAUGAACCUGAAUUGUCCAAUUCCAAAGACCAAUCGAUAUCAGAUUGAGUCUAACACUUGGGAAACAUCAUAAUAUUAUGGGAGGAGUCAUUUGGGGGGGUUUGAGUGAAAUCCAAUCUCUUGAACUAUACAAUACACCAACCACUCCAUUUCGGAACGAACUUCCUACGUACCUGACUUGUCCAAUUUCUUCGAUCAAUCGAUAUCGGAUUGAGUCCAAAACUUGGGGAAUAUCAUAAUAUUGUGGGAGGAGUCAUUUGGUGUUGUUUGAGUGAAAUCCAAUCUCUAGAACUAUACAAUACACCAACCACUAUAUUUCAGAACGAACUUCUUACGAACCUGAAAUGUCCAAUUUCAUUGACCAAGCGAUAUUGGAUUGGGUCCAAAACUUGGGGAACAUCAUAAUAAUGUGGGAGGAGUUAUUUGGUCGGUUUUGAGUGAAAUCCAAUCUCUACAACUAUACAAUACACCAACCAUUCCAUUUUAGAACAAACUACGUAUGAACCUGAAUUGUCCGAUUUCAUGGGCCAAUCGAUAUCGGAUUGAAUACAAAACUUGGGGAACAUCAUAAUAUGUUUGGAGGAGUCAUAUGGUGAGUUUUGAGUGAAAUCCAAUGGCUAAAACUAUGCAAUAAACCAACUACUCCAUUUCAUAAAGAACUUCGUGCGAACCUGAAUUGUCCAAUUUCAUGGACCAAUCGAUAUCAGAUUGAGUCCAAAACUUGGGGAACAUCCUAAUAUUGUGGCAGGGGUCAUUUGGUGGGUUUGGAAUGAAUUCGAAUCUCUACAACUAUACAGUACACCAACCACUCCAUUUUAGAAGACACUUCGUACGAACCUGAAUUUUCCGACUUCAUGGACCAAUUGAUAUCGGAUUGAGUCCAAAACCUGGGGAACAUCAUAAUAUGGUAGGAGGAGUCAUUUGGUGGGUUUUGAGUGAAAUCCAAUCUCUAGAACUAUAGAAUACACCAACUACUCCAUUUUAGAACGAACUUCGUACGAACAUGAAUUGCCCGACUAAAUGGACCGAUCGAUAUCGGAUUGUGCCCAAAACUUGAGGAACAUCAUAAUACGGUGGGAGGAGUCAUUUGAUGUGUUUUGAGUGAAAUCCAACCUCUAGAACUAUCGAAUACACCAACCACUCCAUUUUAGAACGAACUUCGUACGAACAUGAAUUGUCCGACUGAAUGGACCAAUCGAUAUCGGAUUGUGCCCAAAACUUGAGGAACAUCAAAAUAUGGUGGGAGGAGUCAUUUGAUGUGUUUUGAAAGAAGUCCAAUGGAUAAAACUGUGCAAUACACCAACCAUUCCAUUUCAUAACAAACUUCAUACGAACCGGAAUUGUCCAAUUUCAUGGACCAAUCCAUAUCGGAUUGAGUCCAAAACUUGGGGGACAACAUAAUAUUGUGGGAGGAUUCAUUUGGUGGGUUUUGAGUGAAAUCCAAUUGCCAAAACUAUGCAAUACACCAACCACUCCAUUUGAAAACGAACUUGAAUUGUCCAAUUUCUGGGACCAAUCGAUAUCGGAUUGAGUCCAAAACAUGGGGAACAUCGUAAUGUUGUGGGAGGAGUCGUUUGGUGAGUUUUGAGUGAAAUCCAAUUGCCAAAACUAUGCAAUACACCAACGACCCCAUUUCACAACGACCUUCGUACGAACCUAAAUUGUCCGAUUUCAUGGACUAAUCAAUAUCGGAUUGAGUCCAAAACUUGGGGAACAUCAUAAUAUGGUGGGAGGAGUCAUUUGGUGAGUAUUGAGCGAAAUCCAACGGCUAAAACUAUGCAAUACACUGACCACUUCAUUAGAGAACGAACUUGGUAUGAACAUGAAUAAUCCAAUUUCAAAGACCAAUCGAUACCGGAUGGAGUCCAAAACUUGGGGAACAUCAUAAUAUUGUGGGUGGAGUCAUUUGGUGAGAUUUGAGUGAAUCCAAUUGCUAAAACUAUGCAAUACACCAACCACUCCAUUUCAUAACGAACUUCGUACCAACUUGAACUGUCCAAUUUCAUGGACCAGUCGAUAUCGGAUUGAGUCCAAAACUCGGGGAACAUCAUAAUAUGGUGGGAGAAGUCAUUUGGUGAGUUUUGAGUGAAAUCCAAUGGCUAAAACUACGCAAUACACCAACCACUCCGUUUCAUAAUGAACUUCGUACGAAACUGAAUUAUCCGAUUUUGUGGACCAAUCGAUGUCAGAUUGAUUCUAACACUUGGGGAACAUUAUAAUACAAUGGGAGGAGUCAUUUGGCCGGGUUUGAGUGAAAUCCAAUCUCUAGAACUAGAUAAUACACCUACCACUCCAUUUCAGAAUGAAGUUCGUAAGAACUUGAAUUGUCCAAUUCCACGGACCAAUCGAUAUCGAAUUGAGUACAAAACUUGGGGAACAUCAUAAUAUGGUGGGUAGAGUUAUAUGGUGAGUUUUAGCGAAAUGCAAUGGCUAAAACUACGCAGUACACCAACCACUCCAUUUCAGGACGAACUUUGUGCGAACCUGAAUUGUCCAAUUUCAUGGAACAAUCGAUAUUGAAUAGAGUCCAAAACUUGGGGAACAUAAUAAUAUUGUGGGAGGAGUCAUUUGGUGAAUUUUGAGUGAAAUCCAAUUGCCAAAACUAUGCAAUACACCAACAACUACAUUUCAGAACGAACUUCAUACGAACCUGAAUUGUCCUAUUUCAGGGACCAAUCGAUGUCGGAUUCAGUCCAAAACUUGAGGAUCAUCGUAAUAUAUGGUGGAAAGAGUCAUUUGGUGAGUUUUGAGUGAAAUCCAUUGGCCAAAACUAUACAAUACACCAACAACUCCAUUUCAGAACGAACUUCGUACGAACCUGAAUCCUCCGAUUUUAUGGACCAAUAGAUAUCAGAUUGGGUCCAAAACAUAGGGAACAUCGUAAGAUGGUGGGAGGAGUCGUAUGGUGAGUUUUAAGUGAAAUCCAAUGGCAAAAACUAUGCAAUACACGACCUACUCCAUUUUAUAAGGACCUUCGUACGAUUGUUAAUUGUCGAAUUUUGAGACCAAUCGAGAUCGAAUUGAGACCAAAACUUGGGGAACAUCAUAAUCUAGUGGGGGGAGUCAUUUGGUGGGUUUUGGGUGAAAUCCAAUAGCAAACACAAUAAAAUACAUCAACCACUCCAUUAGAGAACGAACUUCAUAGGAACAUGAAUACUCUAAUUUCUUAGACCAAUCGAUAUCGGAUUGGGCCCAAAACUUUGGGAACAUCAUAGUAUGGUGGGAGGAGUCAUUUGGAGAGUUUUGAGUGAUAUCCAAUGGCUAAAACUAUGCAAUACACAAACCACUCCAUUUCAGAACGAACUUCGUACGAACCUGAAUUGUCCAAUUUCUUGGACCAAUCGAUAUCGGAUUGAAUCCAAAACUUGGGGAAUAUCAUAACAUUGUGGGAGAAGUCAUUUGGUCAGUUUCUAGUGAAAUCCAAUUGCCAAAACUGUUCAACAUACCAAUCACUCCAUUAGAGAACGAACUUCGUAUGAACAUCAAUUGUCCAAUUUCGUGGACCAGUUGAUAUCGGAAUGGGUCCAAAACUUGGCGAACUUCAUAAUAUGGUGGAAGGACUCAUUUGGUGAGUUUUGAGUGAAAUCCAAUGGCUUAAACAAUGCAAUACACCAACCACUCCAAUUUAUAACGAACUUCGUACGAACCUUAAUUGUCCAAUUUCAUGGACGAAUUGAUAUCGAAUUUAGUCCAAAACUUGGGGAAGAUCAUAAUAUUGUGGAAGGAGUCAUUUGGUCCUUUUUGGGUGAAAUCCCAUAGUAAAAACUAUGAAAUACACCAACCACUCCAUUAGAGAAUGAACUUCGUACGAACAUGAAUAGUCCAAUUUGUUGAACCAGUCAAUAUCGGAUUGAGCCCAAAACUUGGGAACAUCAUAAUAUGGUGGGAGGAGUCAUUUCAUGAGUUUUCGGCGAAAUCAAAUGGCUAAAACUAUACAAUACACCAACCACUCCAAUUUAUAACGAACUUCUUACGAACCUUAAUUGCCCAAUUUCAUGGACCAAUCGAUAUCGGAUUGAGUCAAAAAUUUGAGGAACAUCAUAAUGUUGUGGGAGGAGUCAUUUGGUGAGUUUUGAGUGAAAUCCAAUUGCCAAAAUUGUUCAACAUACCAAUCACUCCAUUAGAGAACGAACUUUGUACGAACUUGAAUUGUCCGAUUUCGUGGACCAGUUGAUAUCAGAUUGAGUCCAAAACUUGUCGAACUUCAUAAUAUGGAGGGAGGAGUCAUUUGGUGAGUUUUGAGUGAAAUCCAAUGGCUGAAACUGUGCAAUAAACCAACCACUCCAAUUUAUAACGAACUUCGUACAAACCUUAAUUGUCCAAUGUCAUGGACCAAUCGAUAUCGGAUUUAGUCCUACACUUGGGGAACAUCAAAAUAUAGUGGGAGGAGUCAUUUGGUAAAUCCAAUCCGUAGAACUACGCAAUACGCAAACCACUCCAUUUUAGAAUGCACUUCGUACAAACCUGUAUUGUCCAAUUUCAUGGACCAAUCGAUAUCGGAUUGGGUCAAAAACUUGGGAACAUGAUAAUAUGGUGGGAGGUGUCAUUUGGAGGGUUUUGAGUGAAAUCCAAUCUCUAGAACUAUACAAUACACCAACCACUCCAUUUCUGAACAAACUUCGUAUGAACUUGAAUUGUCCAAUUUCAUGGACCAAUCAAAACUGGAUUGAGUCCAAAACUUGAGGAACAUCAUAAUAUUGUGGGAGGAGUCAUUUGGUGGGGUUUGAGUGAAAUCGAAUCUGUAGAACUAUGCAAUACACCAACCACUCCAUUUCUGAACAAACUUCGUACGAACGUGAAUAGUCCAAUUUCUUGGAUCAAUGAAUAUCGAAUUGAUCCCAAAACUUGGGGAACAUCAUUAUAUGGUGGAAGAAGUGAUUUGGUUAGUUUUGAGCGAAAUCCAAUGGCUAAAACUAUGCAAUACACAAACUACUCCAUUUCAGAACAAACUUCGUACGAACCUGAGUCAUUUGCUGAGUUUUGAGUGAAAUCCAAUCUCUAGAACUAUAGCACACACCAACCACUACAUUUCAGAACGAACUUCAUACAAACUUGAAUUGUCCAAUUUCAAGGAAAAAUCGAUAUCGGAUUGGAUCCAAAACUUGAGGAAUAUCAUAAUAUGGUGGGAGGAGUCAUUUGGAGAGUUUUGAACAGAAUCCAAUUGCCAAAACUAUGAAAUACACCAACCACUCCAUUUCGGAACGAACUUCGUUCGAAACUGAAUUGUCUGAUUUCAUGCACCAAUCAAUAUCAGAUUCAGUUCAAAACUUGGGGAACAUCAUAAUAUUGUGGGAGGAGUCAUUUGGGGGGUUUUGAGUGAAAUCCAAUCACUAGAACUGUGCAAUAAACCAACCACUCCAUUUCAUAACGAACUUCGUACGAACCCGAAUUGUCCUAUUUCAUGGACCAAUCAAUAUCGGAUUGAGUCCAAAACUUGGGGAACAUCAUAGUGUUGUGGGAGGAGUCAUUUUGUGAGUUUUGGGUGAAAACCAAUCUCUAGAACGAUGUAAUACACCAACCAUUCCAUUUCGUAACGAACUUUAUACGAACAUAAAUUGUCUAAUUUCAUGAGCCAAUCAAUAUCGGAUUGAAUCCAAAACUUGGGGAACAUCAUAUUAUAGUGGGAGAAGUCAUUGGGUCGGUUUUGAGUGAAAUCCAAUCUGUAGAGCUAUACAAUACACCAACCAUUCCAUUUCUUAACGAUCUUCGUAAGAACCUGAAUGCCCCAAUUUCAUGGACCAAUCGAUAUCGGAUUGAGUCCAACACUUGGGGAACAUCAUAAUAUGGUGGUAGGAGUCAUUUGGGGAGUUUUGAGUGAAAUCAAAUUGCUUAAACUAUGCAAUACACCAACCACUCCAUUUUAUAACGAACUUCGUACGAACCAAAUUUGUCCAAUUUCAUGGACCAAUCAAUAUCGGAUUGAGUCCAAAACUUGGGGAACAUCAUAAUGUUGUGGGAGGAGUUAUUUUGGGAGUUUUGAGUGACAUCCAAUUCCCAGAACUAUGCAAUACGCCAACCACUCCAUUUCAUAGUGAAUUUCGUUCCAACCUGAAUUGUCCGAUUUCAUGGACCAAUCAAUAUCGGAUUGAGUCCAAAACUUGGGGGACAUCAUAAUAUUGUGGGAGAAGUCAUUUGGUAGUUUUUGAGUGAAAUGCAAUCUCUAGAACUAUACAAUACACCAACCACUCCAUUUCAGAACGAACAUUGUACGAACCUGAAUUGUUCGAUUUCAUCGACCAAUCGAUAUCGGAUUGAGUCCAAAACUGGCGUAACAUCAUAAUAUUGUGGGAGGAGUCAUUUGGUGGGUUUUAAGUGAAAUCCAAUCUCUAGAACUAUACAAUACACCAACCACUCCAUUUCAGAAUGAACAUUGUACGAACCUGAAUUGUCCAAUUUCAUGGACCAAUCAAUAUCGGAUAGAGUCCCAAACUUAGGGAACAUCAUAAUGUUAUGGGAGGAGUCAUUUGGUUUGUUUUGAGUGAAAUCCAAUUGCCAAAACUUUGCAAUACACCAACCACUCCAUUUCAUAGCGAAGUUCUUUCCAACCUGAAUUGUCCAAUUUCAUGGACCAAUCGAUAUCGGAUUGGGUCCAAAACUUGGGGAAGAUUAUACUAUGGUGGGAAGAGUCAUUUCGUGAGUUUUGACUGAAAUCCAAUCCUAAAACUAUGUAAUACACCAACCACUCCAUUUCAUAACGUACUUCGUUCCAACCUGAAAUUAGCCGAUUUCAUGGACUAAUCAAUAUCGGAUUGAGUCCAAAACUUGGGGCACAAUAUAAUAUUGUUUGAGGAGUCCUUUGGUGGGUUUUGAGUGAAAUCCAAUCUCUAGAACUAUACAAUACACCAAUUACUCGAUUUCAGAACGAACUUCAUACGAACCUGAGUUGUCCGAUUUCAUCAACCAGUCGAUAUCGGAUUGAGUCCAAAAUUUGGGGAACAUCAUAAUAUAGUGGGAGGAAUCUUUUGGCGGUUUUGAGUGAAAUCCAAUCUCUAGAACUGUACAGUACACCAACCACUCCAUCUCAGAAUGAACUUCGUACGAACCUGAAUUGUCUGAUUUCAUCAACCAAUCAAUAUCGGAUUGAGUCCUAAACUUGGGGAACUUUAUAAUAUUGUGGGAGGAGUCAUUUGGUGGGUUUUCAUUGAAAUCCAAUCUCUAGAACAGUACAAUACACCAACCACUCCAUUUCAGAACAAACUUCGUACCAACCUAAAUUGUCCAAUUUCAUGGACCAAUCGAUAUCGGAUUGAGUCCAAAACUUGGGGAACACCAUAAUAUUGUGGGUGGAGUCAUUUGGUGGGUUUUCAGUGAAAUACAAUUUCUAUAGCUGUACGAUACAUCAACCACUGCAUUUCAUAACGAACUUCGUACGAACUUGAAUUGUCCAAUUUCAUGGACCAAUCAAUAUUGGAUUGGGUCCAUGACUUGGGGAACAACAUAAUGUUUUGGGAGGAGUCAUGUGGUGAGUUUUGAGUGAAAUCCAAUUGUCAAAACUAUGAAAUACACCAACCACCCCAUUUCAGAAUGAACUUCGUAUGAACUUGAAUUGUCUGAUUUCAUGGACCAAUCGAUAUCUGGCUGAGUCCAAAACUUAGGGAACAUCAUCAUAUGGUAGAAGAAGUUGUUUGGUGAGUUUUGAGUGAAAUCCAAUGGCUGAAACUGUGCAAUACACCAAUCACCCCAUUUCAUAACGAACUUCUUACGAACCUCAAUUGUCCAAUUUCAUGGACCAAUGGAUAUCUGAUUGAGUCCAAAACUUGGGAAACAUCGUAAUAUUGUGGGAUUAGUUAUUUGGUGGGUUUUGAGUGAAAUGCAAUCUCUAGAACUAUAAAAUGCAUCAAUCACUCCAUUUCAUAACGAACUUCGCACGAACCUGAAUAGUCCAAUUUCGUGGACUAAUCAAUAUCGGAUUGAUACCGAAACUUAGAGAACAUCAUAAUAUAGUGGGAGGAGUCAUUUGGUGGGUUUUGAGUGACAUCCAAUCUCUAGAACGAUGCAAUACACCAACCACUCCAUUUCGUAACGAACUUCGUACGAAUCUAAAUUGUCCAAUUUGAUGGACCAAUCGAUAUCGGAUUGAGUCCAAAACUUGGGGAACAUCAUAAUGUGGUGGUAGGAGUCAUAAGGUGAGUUUUGAGUCAAAUCUAAUGGGUAAAACUAUGCAAUACACCAACCACUCCAUUUCAUAACAAACUUCGUAUGAACCCGAAUUGUCCAAUUUCAUGGACCAAUCGAUACCGGAUUAUGUCCAAAACUUGGGGAACAUCAUAAUGUUGUGGUAGGAGUCAUUUUGUCAGUUUUGAGUGAAAUCAAAUCUCUACAACUAUACAAUACUCCAACCACCCCAUUUCAAAACGAACUUCAUACGAACUUCAGUUGUCCGAUUUCAUGGAACAAUUGAUAUCGGAUUGAGUCAAAAACUUGGGGAACAUCAUAAUAUAGUGGGAGGAGUCAUUUUGUGAGUUUUGAGUGAAAUCCAACUGCCAAAACUAUGUAAUACACCAACCACUAUACUAAAGAACGAACUUCGUACGAACCUGAAUUGUCCAAUUUCAUGGACCAAUCGAUAUCUGUUUGACUCCAAAACUUGAGCUGAAUGCCUAGCAUCACUUUCCUUUGACUCAUGUCCUUCCUGGAGAGCUACUUGAUCUCUUUCCAUGGCAAAGCGUGGAUUUUGGCUAGAACUUCCAGUAUUUAUAUACUAGAAGAUUUUUCUAGGAGUAUGUGUACUAAGAAGUCCCAUUGGGCGUGCCAAAUUGUUCACCCGUUUUUUAUCUGAUCCUGUGAUGGUAGGGUAAAAUUCCCUAUUAACUUGAAAACCAUUGACUAGUCAACAAGUCAACUCUCUUUUGUGUAUGAGCAUGCCACUGUACAAACCCUAGCAGACUUCUUAAAAGUAGAUAACUUGCGCCCCAAGUUACUGAUUUUGAACAAGCGAUUGUGAAUUUGGGUAAGGAAUAUCUCCCAAGUAAAUUAUUUUCCUGCCUUAGACUAGUGCGGACUUUCACAAUUUUUCACAAUACAAAACUGAUAGUUCUUGCCAGAAUAAAUGAAAAGAAAGUAAACUGUUUAAGCAGAACUAUCUAUUACAAAGCUCAGAAAGAUAAAAGCCAACUCCCAAAAAGACAACAAAGUGUUGGACUUCAAUUUCUGCCUGGGUAGCUGUCUUUGAUCCGGACUGGACUGGGUGUGUUUGUGCUGGAAUGGAUCAUCAACAUCUUCAACUGACAAGUUUUAGUUGGAAAUCGAUACCAACAUUUGAGUUUGACAGAGCUUUAUUCUAUUUCAAGCCCAGGAAGGCUUUUUGAACGAGCGGAAUUGGAGCCUCUUCACUUUGAGAGGGGCAGAAGUGGCUGGACUGACGGCUACUGAACUGAAAUUGCACUGUAGUACAUGUUCUGCUUGAUCAGGACUACUGAGCUAGAAAUGACAUCUACAUCAAGGGCAGUAAUUAACAAAUGUGUAUCUUAAUAAGAUGACAUGCCAUAUUUCAAAAAUGCCAACAGUGACAGAAGUCGAACCAAUUUAUUAAAACUUACGUCCUUAUAUUCUUCCUUCCCCUUCUCUUUCUUAGGAGCAGCAGAGGGAGCUGCAGGGACAUCACUGAAUGAAAAUAAUUCCAAAACGAAAGUUAUUACUCAAAAUUAAGAUUCCAUCCACACUGAUAGAGGAAAAGAGCAUUACAUACAAAAUUAAACCACAUGGUUUUCACAUAUUUAAUCCCCAUUGCUAUGGUAAGUGUUUCUUUUGGAUAGGCCAAUAAUCAUUUUUAUGGAGAACGAAGAAUCACUAUAGAUGAUUUUGUGGAGAAGAACAUAGGGUGCUUAUUCCAAGAAUCGUUCAAAAUCACUUCAAUGAAUAUAUGGAGAAGCAUGUGUGAGGUGCUCAUGAUUACUUCCAAACAGGAUCUAGUUGUUUAGUCUUCACACACUUUUUUAUUUUAUUUUGAUAACUGUCUUCAUACACUAAUUUUAGUUGCUCAAUUAAGUUGAUACUUAGGAAUUCAAUGGUAUCAUUGCCCAUAAUUCUUAUAGUGCGACAUGUAAAGAAUGAUACGAACCCUAGCAGGGUUGGCUGUUAUAUUGGCUGAUGCUGCCUGUUUAGACCCUUUUUUCAACUAUUUAAUUUUCUAAGCAUCACGGUGUAAAACUAUGAAGUUAACUUUAUGUGUCAGUUAAACUAUUUGUUGGCAUGUAAAUCUGUCUCUGAAGGUACAGUUCCCCUUGAUGCAUACAUGAUGGACUUUGUCCUCUCCGAGAGGGGAGAUGGUGGAAUUUUUUUACAGUAAAAAUGGCAUGGACUACCGCAUUCCAGUAGUUGGAGGAGUUACGAAGGUGUCACGAAUGCACAUUCCGUUCUGUGUAUUUCUGUAAUUAAGUAUUUGUAUUUGUAGGGGAAAUACAAUGAUCCAUUAAGCUAGACUUUGCCAGAUCUAAUCCAUCCCACUUAUCAUUAACAAACAAAAUUACUUAUUCAACUAACGCAACCACUUUUGAAUGUAAACGAUAUUUGCCUCUUUCUGUCUUUGUAUUUCUAUGAAAGCUUAUAAAGUGGGCCAACGUAAGCCCAACUCACAACACAAACAAUUACUGAUAGAACAAGAUCUAAAUAAUAAUCGGGAUCCAUAAAUAAUAAACCUUGGCUAGUAUCUCGCCAAUGUGGAGAUUGUUGGAGCAAAUAGCUAGAUACAAGCCAUAAUGUGUAAGUUUCAUAUCCAAAAAAAUCGAUGACUUGAACUGUACUUCNNNNNNNNNNNNNNNNNNNNNNNNNNNNNNNNNNNNNNNNNNNNNNNNNNNNNNNNNNNNNNNNNNNNNNNNNNNNNNNNNNNNNNNNNNNNNNNNNNNNUGAUAAGGUAAGUAAACAGCACGUGUUUUUCUCACUCGGUGUCGGCUAGCAGUGCAUGAAUUCUUUUUCUGUAGAGCCCUCCUUUUGUACACUCCUGAGGGACCGGCAGACUACGUGCCUCUAGUUCACCCUGAGUAAUAGUGUAAGCCGGUGACGGAAUUGCUUUUGGCGUGUUUCCAUACGUGAUAGUUACUCCCACUACAAAUACAAAUACUUACUUGCAGAAAUACGCAGAGGAUUGUCAAUAAAUCAUUCCUUACUUUCCUUGUUGACCAAAAAAGCUACACAUAGAAAGUGUUUUUUUUUUAUGUGUUCUCUAUGUUUUACUAGUCAUUAUCUCCCCGAUAUGAUUUCAUGAUGCUACAGUGCUAUUAAGUUUUUUGGUCUUUUCUAUUUUCGUUGGUUUUUAAUGUGCUGUAGUGCUGUGCUUUUUCAUCUUUUUUAUUUUCGUUGGUUUCAUACAGUGCUGUUAAGUUUUUACACAGUGCCCGAUAAUGUUUUGAAUGUAACUAAGUGAGUAAAAUUUAAUGUAACAUAAAAUAUUGUUUUUUUUAAAAUUAAAAAAAACAGGGAUUUGGGGCGGGUUUGGGAGACAACUCCCGACGGGGAUGGGAAUUACCCGAAAAUUCUUAUUGAGGAAAAGACGAGGGCGAGAAUAGAGAACAGGAAAGUGGAUGGUAUUACCAUACCGAGCCCCGAACCAGCUCGUUGCCAUCUCUAGUACCUGUGUAUCUUAAAGAUCAGAUCAAAAUUUCUCUCAUCAUCCUCUUCCUUAUGGUCAACUAUAGGCAAGUAUUUACUUUAUCGGCAUUUGAUGGACAUACCUCUGUUCUAAUAUUAGCCUUUGCAGGUGAUUUUGGAGAAGGCUGCAAGAAAUGACAAUCCUGACAUUGACAAAAAGUAGUUACCUGUUCCAUCUGUGCUUAAUCUUCUUGAUUUGUAUUUCAUUUAUGCUCAGAAAUUCGUCAAAAAAAGGGAAGCGAAGGCGUGCACAAGACCCAUUAGUUGGUUGCACAUUUGGAAUAUCAGAUCUAGAAGGGUGGUAAGAAUUUCAACAAGUCAGUUAUGUUUUUAAUCACCUAACUAUGCUUCUGGCUACAGAAGUCACUACUAGAAGAAAAUGAACAAAAUAUUGGUUGUCACUCAUAUGUAAUUGUACUCUCAUCACUCUCAUCCUCAACCGGGUGCUGGGUCUGAUUAUCAAGUAGCUGGUCCUCAAUCACUUGUAGAUUCAUGGGGUCCUCAACCACUGGCAGAUCCAUGGGGUCCUCAACUUCAACUGCUAGCGGAUCAAAUGGGUCCUCAUCCUCUAGAAGAUUCUCAACUGGAACUGGAUGGGCCUCUGCUGGCAUAUCAUCAAUCGGGUGUAAGAAAAAAUCUGUGGCAUUUAUCCUUUCAAUCAUCAUAUUCAUGACCUCCUCCCAAUGCCUCUGACUGAGACCAUGGGUAUUCUCGUAUAAAAUAACAUCGUGAAAUUCAUACCAGUAGUCGUACUCGUCUGGAACAUCAUAUUCUAGUAACGGAUUACUCUCCAACAGUAAUAUAGCAUCCUCCAACUCCUAGACACUUUGAUGGUUUGCAACAUUAAUCUGUCCUAUGUAAUGAUCCAUUCCAUCAAAAGUCUGUUGAUUUACUCUAGCCAACCCUUAUCCCCAGCCCCAUUUCCUCCCCUGCUGCCCCUAUUUCCCUCCUCAUCAUGUUGGUCCCUGUCAUGAUCCUAUUGAAACAAAACAGCCGCAUUAAAUAGCAUGCGUAAUAUUAUCCUAUUGAAACUUUAUAAAAUAAAAAAGACAAGCCCAUUAAUUGGCAAGCAGAUCUUGCUGAAAUUUUAUAAAAUAAAAGAAGACGAGCCAUUAACUAGCAUCCAUGUGCAUCAGUGAAAUUUCCAAAUCGUGAAACUUAAGAAAAUGAAGAAGACAAACCCUAUUAACCUAAAAUGAAGAAGACAAAUCUUAUUAACCAGCAUACAUAUGCACAAAUAAAAUUAUUGAAAGUAUGCAAAUCAUGAAACUUUAUAAAACGAAGAAGACAAACCUAAGAAGACAAACAUAUGCCCUGGUCUCAUAGGUUUGUCUUUUUCAUUUUAUAAAGUUUCAUGAUUUGCAUACUUUCAAUAAUCUUGUUUGUGCAUAUGUAUGCUGAUUAAUAGGGUGUCUUCUUCAUUUUAUGAAGUUUCAUGAUUUGCAAAUUUCACUAACGCACAUGUAUGUUGGUUAAUAGGCUCGUCUUCUUUUAUUUUAUAAAAUUUCAGCAUGAUCUGUUUGCCAAUUAAUGGGCUUGUCUUUUUUAUUUUAUAAAGUUUCAAUAGGAUAUUAUUACGCGUGCUAUUUAAUGUGGCUGUCUUGUUUCAACAGGAUCAUGACAGGAGCCAACAUGAUGAGGAGGAAAAUAGGGGCAACGGGGGAGGAGAUGGGGCUGGGAUCAAGGGUUGGCUAGAGUAAAUCAACAGACUCCUGAUGGAAUGGAUCAUUACAUAGGACAGAUUAAUAUUGCAAACCAUCAAAGUGUCUAAGAGCUAGAGGAUGCUAUUACUGUUGCUAAAGGGUAAUCCAUUACCAGAGGAUGAUGUUCUAGACGACUACGACUACUGGUAUGAAUUUCAUAAUAUUGUUUUAUAUGAGAAUACUCAUGGUCUCAAUCAGAGGCCUUGGGAGGAGGUCAUGAGUAUGAUGAUUGAAAGCAUAGAUGCCAUAUAUUUUUACUUGCACCGGAUUGAUGAUCUGCCAAUAGAAGCCCAUCCAAUUCUAGUUGAGAAUCUUCCACAGGACGAGGACCUAGUGAAUCCGCCAGCAGUUGAAGAUGAGGACCCCAUGAAUCUACCAAUGUUUGAGGACCCCAUAGAUUUGCAAGUGGUCGAUGACCAGCUAGUUGAUAAUCAAGCCCAGCACCCGAUUGAGGAUGAGAGUGAUGAGAGCACAAUUGCAUAUGAGUGACAACGCAUAUUUUGUUCAUUUUCUUCUAGUAGUGACUUCUGUGGCCAGUAGCCAGAAGCAUAGUUGGGUGAUUAAAAAUGCCAACAUUGACAGAGGUCGAACCAAUUGAUUAAAACUUACAUCCUUGUAUUCUUCCUUCCCCUUCUCUUUCUCAGGAGCAGCAGAGGGAGCUGCAGGGACAGCACUGCAUGAAAAUAAUGCCAAAACGAAAGUUAUUAUUCAAAAUUAAGAUUCCAUCUACAUUGAUAGAGGAAAAGAGCAUUACAUACAAAAUUAAACCACAUGGUUUUCACAUAUUUAAUCCCCAUUGCUAUGGUAAGUGUCUCUUUUCAGUUGUCUGUAAUCAUUAUUGGAGCAGACUGUCCAAUUAAUGCAUGACCAAAUGCCAAUUAAACAACAAUUUAAGUAUGAACAACCAUGUUUGUAACACUAAUUUUCCAAAAGAUACAGGUCCAAUCAAAGUUACUAUUAAGAUUCCAAAUACACUGACUGAGAACGUACCCAAUUUCAGGCCAAUUCACAACAUCCUAAAAACAUAACUUAGUAACACUUUACUCAUUUAAUCUGGUUAUGAUCACAAAAAUACAAAACCAUUCUUGAACAGCUCCUACCCACAGUCAUAAGAUUAUUUGAAUGUCCCAGAUGUUGCAAAAUGCGUGUAAAUGCACACUCUCUAAAUGCGGAGGCUCGGAAUUCCCAUGAUGAAAUCUCCUUUACCAUAGACCAGAACAUAACCCAAUUCCUCAUUCAGACAAAUAACAUCUAAUCCAGUAUAUCUUGAACCACAAUUACAGUCAGCAGUAAACCACGGAUACCGCACAAGAAGCAUCAAAUCCGAAAACUCCAAAUUAGGCAUAAAAAAUAAAAAAAAAGCAAUGUGUAUAAAAGCAAGGAAGGAAUAAGGCAGAUAUGAUGUUAAUCAACAGGUAAACCUUUAGGCAUCAAGGUUAUAUUUAAUCCAAAAACUCCAACAGCCUAAUUAAAACUGAAGCCCCAAACUAAUUUCUACAUAAACCCUGAUAUAAAUUUCACAGAACAAACGUAAUUUCACUAAAUUGGAAGGCACAUACCGGGUCGGUUGAGGAAGAGGAGGUUUAUCUGAGACUGAGAUGACAGCGAACACACGCUUCAAGAUUCAAAGUGGUUGACGCCAAGAUUUGAGAUUGACAGGCUAAGACUGAGGGUAUCGAAAUGAGAGAGAGAGAGAGAGAGAGAGAGAGAGAGAGAGAGAGAGUUAGAGGCUGACCUGACGUGGCUAGCUGGCUGAGAGAGCUGAGCGUCGAGUCGAGAAGGAAGAAGAAAUUUUCGACAAAGAACGAAGUUGUUUUCGAAUUAACACCCCCUAAAACCUUUCUUUUUUGGUCUGAAAUAUGGAAUUUUCAUAAAAAGGCAAACAGCCAAGAGAAGUACACAACCUAUAAAGCAGCUAGGCACAACGAACAACAAGAAAUAAAACAUCACAGCUGCAUGGAAGGAGGACUAAUAAAAAGACGUAGUCAUAAGACAACCGGAUACGUCGAGAAGCCCACACAUCCGCAAACCUUAAGCACUCCUUGGGGGGCAUGGUAAACCAUCUUUGUUCAGGAUAUGCAUUAGAGAGGAUGGGGGUCGGUUGACCCAUACUUCCGGGCUCAUCCUCGAAAUGGCAAGCAUUGCCAAAUGAUCUGCCGCUUGGUUGGCGGUUCUAGGAAUCCACGUUCAAACGUAGGUCUGGAAGCAGUUCAAAACAUCUCGAACAGUACUUAGCAUAGGAUAGAUUUCCCACCUUCCAUUGGAUAAGGGGCCCUUCAAAGAAGAGAUUACUUCCUUGCAAUCAGAUUCAAAAGUUACUUGACGAUAACCCAUCUCAGCAGCGAGCUUACAGCCUUCAAGACAAGCCUGUGCCUCAGCCUCAAUAGCAGAGUUCGCCACAGAUGGGAUGGAUGAACCCUUGAUAAAGUCUCCAUGAGUGUUCCUAAUUAGGAUACCAAUGCCAACCCUCUUUGAGUUUGGAUUCCAUGAUGCAUCCACGUUGACUUUGACAAAGGGAGAGGCAGGGGGGUUCCAAAGUUGUUGUUGGUUGUCAUUAGAAAGGGUAGGAUGCUCAGUUUGAUGUCUGCCAUGAUCAAAGGGAGCCAAGGAAUUCAUUGAUGGCAAUAGAGGCAGCGUGGGUAGUUCUGGCUGGUGAAGGGGAAGAUGUGUUCCAGCACUGCUUGCACGUAUCCUCCAGAUCUGCCAGCAGAAGUACGCGAUAACAGUUAGGCAUCUUGAUCGCUCCUGUGGGGUCUUCCCUUUCUCAAUAACAUUCCCUAACCAUUGGCCGAAAGAUGUCACCGCCUGACGAUUUAUACGGAGGUUGAGGGAGCAUCCGAACCAGACAGGUUCCACCCAAGGACAGAGGAGAAGGAUGUGUUCAGCCGUUUCCGGGUGAUCAUUACAGAGCGGACACAUGGGCGAUCUAGCGAUUUUCUUUUUGUGCAAGUUUGCCGAUGUAGCAAGGCAAUUUCUGAGAGCUCGCCACAGGAAGUUUCGAAUUUUUGGGGGGACAUCCGCUUUCCAAAUUUGCUUCCAAAGCCUUGGAUCAAUCGCCAUUGAAGAGGAUGGGCGUGGAUUUCUUCGUCUACAUUCAGUAUUGUGAAGCCAAAGGUAACCAGAGAGCACAGAGUAAGAACCAUUCCUUUCCAUAGGCCAAAUCAGUCGAUCUGGCAGUCUGCUGCUACCGAACUUGACUCUUGUAAUUGCACGGGCAUCACUAUCAAAAAUGGCGUGCCUAAUUGGGUCCAAGUUCCAUUCAUCGAGCUCCCUGUUAAUAAUAGCUUCCACUCGUAAGUUCCGAUCAAGAGUUUCAGUAGAAUGAAGGCGAGGACAAUCAUUAAGAGAGUUUGGCAGCCAUCGGUCAACCCACAAUCUAAUAUGUGCCCCGUUCAUAACUUGCCAAUGAGCACCACGAAGUAGGAUAUCCCUGCCCUCAAGCAAGCUUGCCCAAGCCCACGAAGUACGACCACUCUUCUUAGCUUCCAAGAAACUGACAUUGGGGAAAUAUCUACCUUUAAGAACCUUAACCCACAGGGAUUGAGGCUCCAUCAAAAUUCUCCAGCAUUGCUUUGCGAGAAGAGCUAAGUUGAACUUGUGGAGGUUGCGAAAGCCCAUUCCCCCCUCAUGUUUAGGUUGUCCAAGGGUGUCCCAGUUGAUCCAAUGGAGCUUUCGGUUAUCUCCAAUCUGCCCCCACCAGAAGCCCACCAAAACAGAAUCAAUUUCUUUGCAAAGGGUGGUAGGGAAUUUGAAGAUAUUCAUGGGAUAAGCUGGUACAGCAAGAGCCACCGAUUUAAUUAAGAUUUCACGGCAAGCUUGUGAAAGGCAAUGUUGAUUCCAGCCAUGCACCUUUCGAAGAAUUCGAUCUUUCACAUACACCAACGCUUCCUUCUUUGCUCUGCCCCAAGAAGUGGGAAGACCCAGGUAUUGCCCUGCAUCAGUAACAUCGGGCAUGCCUAGGAUUGCACACAUUGAAGCUCGGACAUAGGAACGGGUGUUGGAGCUGAAAACCACAUUGGACUUGGUCAAGCUCACUUGUUGUCCAGACGCAGCGCAAUAUGCUUGAAGGAGGCGAGAGAUAUUCUGACAAUUUUGGGGGGUGGCUUUCAGGAAUAUGAGAGUAUCAUCUGCAAAUAAUAGGUGGGAUAAGGUAGGACCUCCAGAAUUCAGCUUAAUACCUUGUAACAAAUCUGUCUCACAAGCAUUUUUUAUUAGCAGGGACAAAACUUCACUAAUAAAAAGAAAUAAGUAUGGGGAGAUUGGGUCACCCUGUCGGAUACCCCGGGAUGGGGAGAAGGCUCCACCCCGUUGGCCAUUGAUCACCACAGUGAAGUUUACCGUUGUUACACAGCUCAUGACUAACUGAAUCCAACCUGCAUUAAACCCCAUUUUUUGCAUAACCUUCUCAAGAAAAUCCCAUUCCACGCGGUCAUAAGCCUUAUUCAUAUCGAGUUUCACUCCCAUCUCAAACUUCUUCUUUGAUUUCUUGAGUUUCAGAGCAUGGAAAACUUCAUGGGCUACCAGGAUGUUAUCCUGGAUCUGUCGAUCAGGAACAAAUGCAUUUUGAGUUGGGGAGAUAAUGCUAGGUAGGUGAGGCUUAAGACAGUUGGCCAGAAUUUUGGAGAGGAUCUUGUAGGAGAAGUUGCACAAGCUAAUUGGCCUAAAUUGGGAGACAGCUUCAGGAUUAGGAAUCUUUGGAAUAAGGACUAUUUGUGUGGAGUUCAAAGGCUUGGGGAUGGCUUGGCCAGUGAAAAAAUCAGCAGUGAAGCCCUGAAUAUCAUUGUGAAUAAUUCCCCAGUAUUUGUGAUAGAAAGUCCCAUGAAAGCCAUCAGGCCCUGGAGCUUUCGUGGCCCCCAUCUGAAAAGCAACAUCUUUAAUCUCCUCGAGUGUAAUUGGCCUGGUCAAGUCUCUGUUCAUGUCAUCAGUUACCACUGGUUCAAUACAAUUCAGGAUGGAAUUCCAAUCUCUGCUCCCACUUGAAGUAAACAGCUCUUUGAAAUACUCCUCAAAAGCCCUGCGAACUCCCUUCUGUGAUUGUUCCCAGUUGCCAUUUUCCCCUUUAAUUCUCGCGAUCUUGUUUUGUCUCCUUCUUUGGAUAGUCGCCUGGUGAAAGUAAGAGGUAUUGGAGUCGCCAUUUUGCAGCCAUUUGAUUCUGGAGCGCUGCUGCCAGUAACACUCUUCUUUUCUCCAUAGAUCAUUCAACUUGGUCUUAAUACGAGAGAUAUUCUCGCUAUUUUCCUCCCAGCUGUGUUGCAUGAGGUUUAGUUGGUCCACCAGACUGUCAAUUUCGAUCUUGUUAUUCUUGAAUUUCCUUUUACUCCAAUCGGUAAGAUGGUUCCGACAAUUAUGUAGAUUCUUCUGCCAUUGCGACAUCCAUGGACCGCUAAGGCUACUACUCCAUGCCCUUUCAAUGACCUCCCUACGUUCUGGAUCAUCUGCCCAUGAGGGUUCAAACUUAAAUUGUCUUUUCCCAAACUUCCCUUUUUGAGUCGUUGAGAUAAAAAUGGGGCAAUGAUCAGAACCAAUUACUGGGCAAUGUAAAACCGCGGUGUCUGGCCAUCGAGUUUGCCAAGCUGCAUUUGCUAGUCCCCGGUCGAUUCUUUCUUGCACAAAGUGUGUGUUCCUUGUGCCUCUCCAAGUAAAACUCGGUCCACUAAACCCCAAGUCAAUAAGCUCAGCCUUCGUGGAAAACUCAAGAAGAUGUCUAGGUCUUGAGUGGGAAGCAGCAACCCCCCCAGCCUUUUCAAAGUGCCAUAUGAACUCAUUCAUGUCCCCUCCACAGAGCCAAAGGUCAUUAGUAGCACAGAGUUGGGAUCCUAGCCACCCCCAAAAAGCUGGUUUUUGCUCUCUGUAAGGCGUGCCGUAAAUCCAAGACACACGACAGUAAGAACCAUCGCUUAGACCAUGCACCUUAGUAUCAAUCAAGUUUUCGGAACUAAAAGCAACAUCCACAUUUAUGGACUCAUCCCACCAAAGGCUAAGCCCUCCUGCUAAACCAUUUGGGGGGACAUUAUAACCAUUUUGGAAGCCCAUUCUGCGUCUUAGACGGUCAAUUCUGCUGUUCUGCAUUUUUGUUUCCAUUAAGAAAACAGCAGAGGGUCUGUGUUUUUUUAUGAACCCAUGAAGGGCUCGAAUUGUCAGGUCAGACCCUAGGCCCUGACAGUUCCAGAGGAGGUAACUCAUGGCUCCCGUGCGGCUGUUUCAGGCCAGCCGCCACCGCCCUGGGAGUCUCCUCCCACUUUAUCUGUUGUUUGUUUUCGCACUCUCCCCCAAUCUUCAGUUUCAGUAACUUUGACCUCCUGAAGCCUUUCCUCCGAAAAUAGAUUUCUUCCCAGAGCCUGACCCCUCCUACGAUUUGUUCUUCCAUAGGCCUUAAUUGUCUUUCCUUUUGUCGACCCCGAGCUUUCUUCAUGCUGGGAGCCUUUUGCCUUUUUAUCAGGAGAUUUGAAAUUGCCAACCACUUCUGUUUCAGCAACCCUUUUAAGACCCAUGCUAGUGAACAUGUUGUUUAUCUGGCCCACCAACAUGGGGGAGUUUUGCUUUGGCUGGGGUCCAAAAGGGUUUGAUAGCAUAGGUUCAAGCUGCAAAUCACUUCCAGACGGCCCAUCAUCAAAUCUGUCUUCUCUGUGGCUUGGGCCUGGUCUGGUCCAGUCAGUUAUAAAAGACUCUGCCUUUGUGUUUUGGGCCUUCAGUAACUCCAUUCUCUUUUCUUCCGAAAUGGGUCCCUUUCUGCCUGCAGGUCUGAUAAAUUCUGAGGGCAGAUUAAUUUCUUCCAAAGUUACCGUGUUGUUGAAACUUCUUUCUGCUGCCUUCCCCAAAAUCUGAGUUGUUUCUCCUUGAUUCUUGCCUGUCAUGAAUGUGUGUCUCGAGGGAUUUACAGAUCUGCUCAGAACGAGCUGAUUUGUUGUGUCUCCAACGGCCUGAGUUACCACGUGAGUCCCAUCAGUUAGCAACGGGUGGAUUCUUGAGCCGUGUGUCCUGAGUUGACUUGUCAUCUCACAGGUUUGCUCGCGACUUUCAGAUGCUAUAUCCUCCCUGAUCUCACGCGCAUGGUGCACGCGCCGCCCCCUUUCAUUGGUACGUCUCUGAUUUGGUGUUGUUGCGGCCCUUCGUUCACCUUGCGGCGCCGAUAUGGGUUUGGGUUGUUCAUACAGCUCUCUGAUAACUCUGGCUCUCGUCCAAGUACCGUAUCCCGCAGCUCCCUCCUCGGCUCUCUCUUGUGGGCACUCGGUGUUGCAGUGUCCCAGUCUGCCACAGUUAUAGCAGAAAUCAGAUAGACGCUCGUACUGCAGUUCUGCCCAAGUUUCGGAGCCAUCGCUGCGCGGGAGCCAAAAGCCUGCUGGAAGGGGCUGGGCGGUGUCUAUUUCUACUCUGAGACGCAGGAAACCUCUGGCUUGGUUGGGGUUCUCAUAUUCAACCAGAUCUCCAAUUUUCCUCCCAAUCUUCACAGUAUUUUCCUCCGUACAUAGAUUCAAGGGAAUCCCUCGAACUUGUACCCAAAAAGGAACAAGAUGGGUAUCAAUUUCUUCCACUGCCAGCUCCAAAGGCCAUCUUCUAACCGAGAAGCAAUGACGCAUGACAGACCAUGGGCCACGCUCCAAGAUCUUCCUUGCCAUAUCCUCAUCCUGGACAGAGAUGGCAAACAGGUUUUCACGUAUCCAGGUGAUCUUUGCUUCUCCAAACUCUUGCCAUGCCUUUUUCAGGAUGUUUUUUAUAGCCCCACGAUUGGGCAUCUUGUUUGCUAUUAUAGCACCAAUCAACUUCGGACCAUUUUCCAGUGAGGAGAUACCCAAAGAUUCCUCAAGUUGUAUUGUUAGUUCCUCUGUACUGUGUUGUGCCAUGUUUGAGUGGAAAAAGUUCUCUAGCGGGUUUAAAAUGAGAGGGAGUAGCUUGAAUGCUCUUAGAUGGGCAUAAGAUUUGAAGAUAUUGAUUGUUAUGGCGAUGGAAAUAGGUAUGAGGUAAAUCGGGGGAUUUAAGAAGCUGAUGGGAUUGGCUAUUGAUGAUUUUGGUGUGGUUGUUGGCAAAAAGUUAAUGUUAUUUCCUGGUAUGCAGUUUAAGGAACCUAGGAUCCGAGGUUGCUGCUGUGCAUUCAUGACUUUAGACCUUCAAAUGCCAAGGAAAUAAAGCUGCCCAGGGCUCAAGAAGCACAGAGCCAUCAAGUAAUUAACUGAGAUAGAUCUCGUAGUGAUUGUGUCCUGGUGCCAGGGUUGAAAUUAAUGGAAUUGAGGGUGGGUGUAAGGAGUAAAUGAAACAGACAAGUGCAGGUUUGGUCGAGGUUUGAGGAACUAAAUGCGAUGGAGAUUGGUUGAGAUCUGAGGGACUAAAAGCAAUGGAGGAGGGAUGAGAUUUGGUAACUUAAUGGAUAUGGAGCUGGGUUAGGAUUUGUGGAACUAAAUGCGAUGUAGAUGGGUUGACAAGCAACAGCUAAGACCAAGCUUAGGGAGAAUCACCAGAGACGGUGAGGGAGCUCUCACCGUGGAGAGAACUAAACACACUCCUUGGACACCUUAGACUUCCAAUUUCUCAUGCUUGACUUCCUAAAACCUUUCAGGUUUUUAAAAUUACACCAACACCCUCAUAAGAUUUCAAAACAUUACACAUUAAAAAAAAAAUAAAAAAUUAAGUUGCUUUUAAAAUUAGCUUGUUGAUUAACUGGUCAAAAUGUAGGGUGAGCUAGCUCUAGCAUUUGGUGAGUUACUUGGGAAGCUAUGGGCGCCUGGACGAACACCGGUUGCUCCUCGACCUUUUAAAACAAAACUUGCUCGUUUUGCACCUCAGUUUAGUGGUCACAAUCAGCACGAUUCUCAGGUUUGGUACUUGACACUAUGUUUUCAGCAACGUGUGCACAUGCAAUUUGGAUGAACUUAAAAGCUAAUUGUUGUUUCAGGAGCUUUUGGCAUUUUUGCUAGAUGGUCUUCAUGAAGAUCUGAAUCGUGUGAAACACAAACCAUAUGUAAAUUUUAGAGAUGCUGAUGUCCGGCCUGAUGAAGACGUAGCUGAUGAGUAUUUGGCAAACCACAUUGCUCGUAAUGAUUCUAUAAUUGUUGAUGUCUGCCAAGUGAGUAUGUCAUUGAAAAAAUUAUAUGUCAAAAAAUUGUUGGUUAAUGAAACCUGUAAUUUCUUACUGUAAUUAUGACAAACUUGAGGGGUCUAAGUUGAAUUUUUCCUUUUUUCAACGAUAUCACACUUCCUUAUAUUAAUUUUUGGCUUAAAUGCUAAAAUAGUCCUUGUGUUGUACCAUGUUGGUCAAUUUAAUCCCUGUGUUUUCAAUUUGGCCAAUUUGGUCCCUGUGUUUAGGACCAUUAGUCAAUAUGGUCCAUUCGGUUAAAAUUGCCAUUAAAUAAACAUAAAUGAUUUUUUUUCUUUUUUGUUGAAAACCUAUAAACUUAUUUGAAAUUGAUUUUAAAAUUUUAAUUAAUUAAAAAAUAUAUUGAAACUUCAUUAAAACCAAAACAUAACGUUAGGAAAGAAAAAAAAGACAAGAUGGGCAUAAUCAAGGAGGGGCUAGAGGAUCCGAGCGGCUCGGCUGGGGAUGGGACAAAUGGCCAGGGAAUGGUGGGAUUGGGGAAGAUCUUGCUGGGACAUGGUCGGGCGGUAGGGGUUGUUUGAGACAGAGAGAGAGAGAGAGAGAGAGCUCAGGGGUGGGAAGGAUUUGUGUUCAGGAGGUAGGUGUGUGUGUAGGGGAGUUGGGGCCUUUGGGUCUGGGCUGCGGAAAGUAGCUGGGGUGGGUUGUUGUUGGGAGAAAGAGAGAAGAAAGAAGGGUGGUGGGGGUGGGGGCUAGAUUGGAUGGUGGUAUCAUCCUUUGAUUUUAAUUUCUUUUAGUUUUAGAUUUUAUUAUUAUUUUGUAACAAGGGGACUAAAAGCCCAGACCAAAAUUAGAGAUCUUAUUUAAUUAUCCAUUUUAAAAUUGAAUUCAAAUAUAUCUAUUUUUUUUAUUAAUAUUUAAACAGUUUUUAAAUUUUUUAAACAUAAAUUUAACGGAUUGGAUCACAUUGGCUAACGGUCCUAAACACAGGGAUUAAAUUGGCCAAAUUAAAAACACAGUGAUUAAAUUGGCCAACAUGAUAAAACACAGGGACUAUUUUAACAUUUAAGCCUUAAUUUUUUUAUUUAAAAUUGUCAAAAAUAGAUCAUGAAUACCUUACGGGCAUGUUUGGUAGGCUUCAUUAGGUUGGACUAUGCUAAAUAAGCCUUGAAGCCCAUGUUUGGUAAAAUAAGGGACUAAGUUAAAAGGGAUUGUGGAGUCCAACAGUAAAAAACACCUCCUCACUCGCUCUCCUUAUACAGAGAGGCUGAAAUUGCCUUCGCAAAAUAAGCCAUUCGCUAAAUUGAAACAGCGAGUCCAGCUCUCUCUCUCGGUCGCAACUCUGGCUCUUUCUCGGUCGCAACUCCAGCUCUCUCUCUCUCGUUCGCGACUGCUUCUUCAAAUCUUGACCAGGUAAGUUUUCUGGUCUCUCUUAUUCCUUCUUCUCCUUUGGGUCAAGUUCGAAUCUUGACCCAGGUAGUGAAAGUUUGGGUAUAGCCGUUUGUGUGGUUUUGCAAUGGUUAUUGUCAGAGUCUCUUAUUCCUUCUUCCCCUUUUGGGCAAGUUCAAAUCUUGACCCAGGUAGUGAAAGUUUGGGUAUAGCUGUUUGUGUGGUUUUGAGUUUGUUAUUGUCAAAGCUCUGGUUGUUGUCAAAGUCUGGGUAUAGCUCUGGUUAUUGUUAUCAUAAACUCUCUCUCUUCACAAAUCAUGCGAUCAUAACAGAAUUAAUGGUUUGAAAUUGUUCUGAAUGAUCUGGAAUAGUAUGUUUCUUUUAAGCCCUCUCGUGUCAAGCAAAUGGAUUUUUGUCAUUCAUCUUGUUUUCUCAUGGUAGAGCACAAAGUUGCAUUUAGUUUCCUACAAUUUUCACAUCAUCACUAGCUGAAUUAUUUUUUAAUUGUAAAUUGUUUCAGGUGGCGGACAAUUUCUAUAGACCCAAUUUGAAGAAAGCAGCUCUUGCCAGGGUGAAUGUUGGUCACAGGAGUCUCAAGGUCUCCAAGUUUGGUGUCAAGAAGAGGAAUAGGCAGGUUGUCAAGACCCCUGGUAGGAACAAUUGUUUUUUUUCCUUCUUCCAAUGUAUUAAUUUUUGAGAACCGAUGAUUGCUUCUGUACUUAACAUAACUCUAACAACAAACUGGAUUUCCAUCGCUUGUUAAUCUUAUUUUCAGUUCCAAAAGAGAAAAAGAAAGUUAUUGAAUUUGUAGUUUAAAGAUGUUUUAAUUUUAAACAGAAGUAAGAAUGAACUCAUCUACUUCAAUUGAAGUGGAACAAAACUUAUGUGUGAUAUAUCUGUCUUAUGCUUUAAAGUCAUUAUCUUCUAGGGAGCUGCUUCAUUAUGAGCUUGUUUACAAUUAUUCAGGAUCCAAGCAUGUAAUUUUCUACCUAUUAACUAAUAUGUUUUGUGGCCUGUUGCUUAUUUUUCUCGUUCUGCGAAUAUGUAACUCUUAGCUUUGAACAUGACUAGAUCACAGAAUCAUUGAAAAGAUGUGGCAUCUCUGAAAGCUCAACUUAUGUGCUUGCCGCUUGUUUUAAUUCUUCUUCUGAUGAGGUAAGAUCACUCUGAAAGUUGUAGUAGAUCAAGCCUUGCAUUGCUUCAGGAUAUCAGAAAAUGUUAGCAUUUUGACUUUAAUAAUUUUUGUAGAAUACUAGAUUGAACAAAAAGCAGUAGAGAAACUAUCAAUGGAAAAGAGAUUGAAUUGGAGGAGUUGGGAGGUAGAGUAGACCAAGCCCAAGUACAAAAGGUACACUCUUGAUCACUUUUCUAACGGCAAUUAGUUUUGUUCUGAUUUUGUCUAGUUAGUGAUCAUCAGCUCUCGUAAUUUUCAGCACUAUAAGAUAACUAGCGUGGAACUAGGGAUAUCUUCUCUUGCUGAAGCCAUUACUUGAUGGAUUGCCUCUCGUGAUGCCUUGUGAGAAGAAUGAGGUUCAUGUUCUGGGAAUUUAGAGCUUCAUUUGAAGGUGGCCAAGGAAACAGAAAACCUGUAGCUUACUAGUCUUGUUUUAGCAAUUUCAAUUGUCUAGUGUAAUACGUAAGUAUACUUGUAGGCAAAGGUGAAAUUUGAAAAACGUGAUUAUGCUACCUAUACCCAACAAUGAACCAAUGACAAAAUUUGCUUGAAAUUGUGGUAUUAGUUUAGUUGUGAGAUUGCUUGUAUGAGAAAAAUUCAAUUGUUGAUCAUUAUUGGUUUCUUGGAUAGUUGUAGACUUACAUAUCUAUUAGUGGGGAAGAUGCGUCAUCUUUCUACUAUGUUCAUUCGGUGUUUUUAGUUUUACUUUUCCAAGUUCAGAGAGACAUGAUUUUCCAUUUUAUAUUUAUCUCUAGAAGACUCUGGAAACUUUUGCCCUUUUAAUGAGAAAGGGAAGCUCCCUGUUUGUUUUUUAUCACCAAAUUUUGCUGAGGAUUGAUUUGGUAAUACUAUGCUCUAAUAUGUAGUUUUCAAAAAUGUCUUAGUCAUAGAGUUUCGGAUGCAACUCUUGUUUAAAUCCUAAUUCUAGUUUACCAGGUUAAAUGCAAGAUAUAAAGAAUGUUUGCCUAUAUUUUUGUCACAAUUUCCUGAGUUAUCUAUUUUAUCCUCAGCCAACAUAUUUUGGUAUAAUAACAUAAUAUCACUUGGUAAAGAUUCAGUUAAUUAAAUUCUUUAUGUUUGCAUACAAAUAAAGACUAAAUCAUGCAUAAAAUCGGUAGAAUUUAUAAAAGCCUUUGGUUUGGAGGAAAGAAAUGUACAUGUCAAUUUGGUAAUUAUAAUAACAAAAAAAAUUACAUUAAUUAUUUAAAAAUUAUUAUUUUUAAAUAUUAAAAUAAUUAUUUUUUAGUCCGACACAGCACCAAACAUAAGUCUUCACUAUUUUUACAAUCCAGUUUCUUAGUCCAACGCAACACCAAACAUAGGUCAGUACUUAAUCUAGCUUAGGCCAAUCCGAGUUAAUCCGAGACAGUCUCAGGAUUUAGUCCAGUCCAUGACAGUCCGCCGUGCCAAACGACCCCUACAUGUCCAAAAAACCUUAUAGUCCAUCUUUCCUAGUCUUCAAAAAUGAAUAAAGGACCCAAAAAAAAAUUAUAAAGUUAAAAAAGAAGCAUAUGUUUGUAACUCAAGUACUUGAAAAAAUUUGCAAAGGACCCACUAGUGUAGUGUUUUAGAGUAUUUACUCCCUCAGGCAAGGUACUGAGUUCAAGUCCUAGCAUCCUUGUUGUGUUUUUGAGUUUAAUAUGUUAAUCGCCUCUUUCAAUAAAAAAGGUCUUCACAAAAAAAAAUAAUAAAUAAAUAUUUAUAUUAAAAUAAAAUAAAAUAAAAGUACUUGAAAAUAUUUAAAAGAUAAUUUUUACCAUGUUGACAAGGGUUCAAAUCCCAGGCCUUGCAAUCACGCGAUGGAUUUUCGUAAAUAAUUUUUGACAUGUUGGUAUUUAUUUCGCGAUAUUAUCGAAAUUAUUGCGAUGUAUUUAAUAAAUAAAUCAACAUAAUGAAGGAAAAUAUCAAGGUCAUAAUUCAAAACUAUAAUAUCGAAAUUAUCACAAUAACUAGAUAGUAUUUCGCUAAAAUAUUGCCAGCUCAAAAAAAUGAUAUUUUCAUCGAAUAGCAACAAGGACAUGGAUAUUUUACUAUGAUAGUAAUUAACAAAUAGCAACAAGGACACGGAUAUUUUAUAGUAAACAAACACAUUUUCAACAUAAAAUUUAAAAAAAAUUACAGACAUGACACUUCUAAGAACACUACAGUUCUUCUAAUCGAGUUGUCACUAGCUUUACGAGACGAACAUGCCUAAGCCCCAGCUUAACUUGUAUCUUAAACAAACCGAGCUUGGCUUUAGCUUGUUUCGAUUACAAAACGAGGGUUUGCAAGAAAUAUACAUGCCCUAGAGAGGCUAGUUUUGUGAUUAAACAUAGUCGUCACCUCACCUACACAGGAUUGGACCACAUUUUUAGCAGCUAGCAUCAGCAUCUUCAGUCGCAACACGCCGAUAAAAGAGUACGUACGCAGCUCCUGACUUCACCUCUUCUUCAUUUAUGGGCGAUACACAACUGUCAUCAAAACUAUACCACCUGUUCUCAUCUAGAAGCUGUACAACAAUAACAGUCGAUAAGAAGAUUUAUACCAGAUGCAGCUGAUAUUUCAACCAAAGAAAUCCUUUCAGAUACUCACCUUGAUAUGCGCAGUGUAGUGCCCGCUACCCAUUCCGCCGAUGUGGUUGGUCAAGGCAUAGAGUUCAUAAAGUUGACGUCGAGCGUUUUUCUUGCUAGCUACGUAAUUUGUUAGAUCAAAGUCAUGAAUCGGAAAGUCAACAAAGGUUUCCAGUUUAUGCUUCAUAGACCUACUGUAUGAGAACCUCUUUAGAUGGAUGACUAACACUUCUGGAAGCCUCCAUAGAUCAAGCUUUUUACUUGCUUGCCUUCGCUCCUUGCACUGGGGACAGUACCUUCACCGUAUAUUUUAUUAAUAGGUCAUAUUUCGUAGAUGAAUGGCAAUGUUUCCUCUUUUAACAAAAGGAACUAACUAGACAGAUGACUCUUUAUCAGAUACCAGUAUAAUAUUUUGACAGUUUAGAUACUUUGCCGGAUUACAACCACAGAACUAUUUUAUACUAGAAAUUUAAAAAUGCUCCAUUCUAAAGUUGCUUCAUAAAGCUCAAAAAUCUGGCUCCCUAAUUAUAAGUUUUUAACAACUCAUUCAUCUGUAAAGUAGCAAUUGUAAGGAAUUUGCAAUCAUGUAACAAUUGCACUCAAAUUCCAAAAGAAAAUACUCGCACCAUCUUCUGUAGCACCGAAGGUGGUAUUCUCACAAAAGUUCUAGCAAAUCUAGGCCCCUUGAUCACCAUCGAUUUCGCAUUCAUCAGACAUAUAAAUUUAUACUUAUGCACACAUUCUCCUGUCCAAACACCCGGAUCUUUAACAAAACUCCUGAUCUCUAAACACAACCAAAUGUACCAAAUGGCUGAGUGAUGAACCUUAUAAAAUUUAUCAUUGAGUCAAUCUAUAGUGUGGUAUACACUCUCAAUGCCAUUCAAUCAUUCUUUACUUUUGGUUACUUUCCUAUUUGUUUUCUUUUGUUUAUUUCUCUUUCCUGUUUCUAACUUUCAUCUCUCUCACCUCUUACUACAGGAGAAUGUGUGUGUGAGACAUGUCUUCAAAGUUCAGAUGAAACUGACACUGCCAACAAUUUGAAAAAUAAAACUAUUCGGUUCAUCCAACAAUGCAGAAAACCAUAAAUUUCCUUCUAAUCCAUCAUUGAUACAUGGAUAUAUAGUGAUCAUUAAUCUGCUUGUUAAGCAAGAUACCACACUUCUGGAUACUGCUCGAUCCAAAUAGCACCUCUUGAUGUUCAAAGGGCACAUUAAAUGUGAAUAAAAUGCCUCCGUUUAGGUCUUAGCUCUAGGGUUUUGGGUGCACAAAACCCAGGAGCUAAGCCCUAAAUGGCAAUUCAACACCCAAAAAAUAAUAAACCCUCUAGGGGAGAGCUAAGCCCUAAACGUUUCUACUAAUUAAUAUAAAAAAGGCAUUGGAUCCCGCACACACCUGAAGCCUUGUGUAGUUACCUAUAAUUCUAUAUUAUCAUUUGUGUGACUUUGAACACAGACAGAGAGAGAGAGAGAGAGAGAGAGAGAGAGAGAGAGACUAACCACAUAUCUUCAGGUACUAGUGGUUCUUCCCGUAGAAAAGCUUCAAGGCAGGUGUACAACGAGAGAGGUUCAGUGCGGGCUUUCUUUGUUACAGGUCCAUACUUAAAAACUUCUGGCAAGUUUUCCAGAUAAUGGGUGUCAUACUUUUCUAAAAACUUCUGUGACCAAUCAACAUAUAUUAGUAUUGAUGUUGAUGAUGAGGCCAGUCUGAUGGCUUUCUCUACCCCCACCCAUAGAUCAGUACAUGUAUUAUUUUCUCCAACCAACUGAAGAGGCAAUUCUAGAGAAGACACUGGUUUAGAACUAGUGAUAUCCUUAUUUGCUGAAUUUGAUACAACAGAAUCAGUACAUGCUUCGCCGGAACACAAGUCAACAGAGGGGUCUGAUCCUUCUGUUGCAGACAUUACACCAGAUAUCUUAGUACGCUCCAAACUUUUAGUUCUAAGCAUUGGAGAGAGCAUUUUAUGAACCAUCAUCAGUAUGUUGCCUCCAAUAAUUUCAUCAUCACAUGAGAUUGGCAAGACAAGAGGUGUUCCAUAGGGUUUCCAUCCUGAUGUGAUCUGCGAAUCACUAUUUCCUCUAGGAGACAAUUAAAAGUUAGUAGAAGAAGCUAUAAAAUGAUCAAUCUACCAGAUAACUCCAGAAAAACAAGUGCAGUUGUUUAUAGUUCAAAGUGAAAGACAAAUCAACUCCGCAUCAAUUUUGUUGUUUAUGAUUCAAAAUGAGAAAGACAAGUCAACACCACAUUAAUCAUUUUACACGCUGCUCUGGCUAGGAAAAUGUGACAAAGUGCUUUUGGAAAAACGACAUUUUUGCAGUCUUAACUAAACAACCAGCCUUUUUUCAGGAUACAUAUAAAAAUGGCUAAAUUAGUUAAGCGCAAAAUGAUUAAGAUCAGGGACUAAUCAAACAAGGAAAACACAGGAAUCAAACUUGGGGUGAGUGGGUGACAGCCUUUCUCUAAGCACAGUGCAGACUAUAAGGUCAAGAUCAAAGUAUACAUACUGCUCUCUACGGCGGUGUAUCAAUUGAAGAUAUUUUGUGUUUGCCAACUUUGGAACCUUAAAAGCAGCAAGAUGGUCGUCAUCUUUGAUGGUAGAUAAUGAUAUUAAUGGGUCUUCUAAAAAUCUCUGAACCAUAUGGUGUUGUAUCUGUGAACCACAAAUUGAAUAAGUUCAACGAACCAUACACCUUCCGAAAGAAGAACAGAAGCAUCAGAUUCCAAAUGUAAAUGCUACAGACCUCCACAAGCAAAAGCUUCUCAGUGUGCUUUACAGAACUAGCAUUGCUAAGCAUCUGGAUCAAGUCCCUGCAACGUCCCUGUUUAGGGACUGUGACAGUACAAGCAGAUGGCAAUGCACUUCCAUCGCAAGUAAAAACUGUUACUGUCAUUGUUCUAGUGGUGGUGGACUGGAGUGGCAAUGAAAGGUACAUAAAAGGAUCAAAAGUAACAGAGACUUUAUUGCAAAUGGGACAAACCAAAGUUGACUUAUACUGGCCCUGUAAAACAGGAAACAUCAUAACCGUGAGGAAAAACUAUUUAUAUAUGGAUUGAAGUAAUGAAGUUUUAAAAACACAUUCUGUAGGAGCGUUUCAUUAGGGGAUUUAUGCUGAGCUGACAUAUAAAGACAAUCUUGUUAGCACUUAUCAAACAAUAUUUUCUUAGUCCUUAUAAGCAUAGCCAAAAAUUUCAUUUAUACAAACUACCAGGACAAGCAUUUCGAUUAGGAUCCAGAUUCAGUAAAAACAUAUCUAGAUUUGAAAAUGCCAAGCCAUGACUCACCGACCUUCAUAGCAUCAAACAGUAAAAAUAGGAUUUUAUUUUGAUAAAUGAGAUACAAAAUCAGGAAGCUUCUAAUUGGUGCAUCGUAUAACGUAAUCAAAAAAAUAAAUUCAAAGAAAAGUCAAAAACCAUCAUUUGCUUAUUCCAUGAAUAAAAAUUGUCAGAACAAAUAGCCAUAGAAUUAGCCCACUAGGAGAAGAAUCAGACAAGGGUAAGGAAACACUUACAAAGUACAGACCUAGAUUUACAACCAACAUAUUUAAACUCAGGCACCAGCUAAGCCAAAUGAGUGGCAAGUUGCCAUAUACUGGUUUGAGGUUUACUCAUGAUGAGAUUUUGAGGUUGACGAGCCUCAGAAGGUUAUGAGCAAAAACCUUAGGAUUGUAUGUCAUCCUGGAAGUGUCACCUAAUGUUAACUAAGUGUUGCAUGUGACUCUGUGGCAGCAAAUCAAAACAAUUAGUAUGUCAACAGACAACAACUUAGAACUUUAAAGAGGAAAAUUCAAGGGGUAUUUAACAAAAAAUAAAAAUAACUUCUAUGUUUCUGUCUAACUCAGUCAAUAACAUAAACUUCCCUGUGGUUUGCUUAAACAGCACACGCUUCCCUAUCGAAGUGCUCAAAUAACAGGCCCCACAUUUGAACUUUUCAGAUGUGAUGCUAACCUCCAGAAGUUAAGGAGCUGUCACUGGUCAUCAAUUUGCACUCUACCACAUCCCUGACUUUUGUCGCUGCCUUUUUUUUUUCCAAUCAAAAGCCACUCUACUGCAACUCAUCUUGAAGCUACCGCCACCACUCUUGAUAUCAUGCUAAAUUUCUUCGGAUUCCGGACCCACCCAAGCUCCAAUACAAAUCCGUCACUUGAGUCCCCAAGAUACUAAUUUCCCAAAUGCACAUAAAAGCUCUAAUCAAUUACCUUAAGAUAUAAACCAGAUAAGAAUCCAAAUACCCCAAACCUACAAGAUUGUCUUAAAACUUUGAACAACCUAAAAUUUCAUAAGCCAACCUCAAAAAUCUAUUUAAAAAGUAAAACAUGUUUAAAGUUUGACAAAACCGCUCCAAUAGUUGGAGAUAAGAGGUUCAAAUGACAAAACAUAAGUAAACGAGCCUCGCUUGAGCAUCCAACGAUAAAGGUACAAAACUAACCAAAUCUCCAUGACAUAUAAGUACCACUAAACCUCCACAUUGCUCAAAGCAGAAGUUCCUUAGACUGAAAACAUAAAUCUAGCAAAACUGUCAGACUCACAGCAGUACUAACUUACCCAGAUAUAGCGACAACCUUUACAACCAACGCCCAUAAAGGUUAUGCCAAUUGUGUUACUUGUUUUGUAUGGCUACAAAAGCCAUUUGCUUUGAUCUUCCCCUUGUCAAGGAUAAUAUUAAAAUAUGUCUCUGCUUUUGGAAUAGAUUAGCAUUGGGUUUCUUUACUGCAGGUGAAGGAAUUGUGACGAAACUGGACAGAAAGGAGAGAGAACAAAUUGGAAGGAUUAGAUGGACCAUACAAUCAAGUUAUUGUAGGUGGUACAAGGGUGGGGUUGACAGAAUAUUGGGGCAGUGGUGCAAGGUGCAGGAGUAGCAGUUGUUCUAGGAGAUCCAUAAGGUGAUGAGGAGUUGAUGCAAGGCAGAGGCUAUAAGCUGCUGUCCAGUGACCCAAACAUAACCAAAAUACAGAGAAUAUAAGGAUAAAGCAGUAGAAUCGACGUUGGAACGAAGAUAAUUGAGUUCUAGGGCAAAAUCCCAAUAUAAACUCUAUAGACUAAAGUCUGAAAUUAUAUUUAUCAACAAAAACUCAAUACAAGAGUCUCUAACUAGCCUAUUUAUACUAGAAUACAGAAAACCUAAUUGACAUAGGAAAUUAAAAACCUAAACAGGAAAUUAAACCAAAUCCUAGUAAGAGUAGGAAAACAAAAGAAGUAACUAAUAAUUUAAAGUAAAUAGAAUCCUAGCCCAAUUGAGUCACAGACCUAAGUAAUCUUAGAGAGCUUCGUAGAUGCUCCUGCAUUAGGAGUGUAAGAAAGAACAAAAUGGUAAGUUCCUCACCUUGAAAGAACAUUUUCAUAUCAAAUAAAAUUAAGGUUGACCACCAAGCUUUAUCCACAUGUUGGAUAAUAAUAUACUUUUAAUACAUUAAUAACAUUGUUCAAUGACAAUGGUAGCAAGGGAGGCAUGCAUCACCUACCUACGUUGAGGGGAGGGCAUGCAUCAUUUAACAAAAAGGAAACAGAAUUGCAAGCAAUACAAGUAGGAAGCAAGAUAGACAUCUAGCACCAAAUCCCAACAGUGUAUAAAAAACAGCAAUUAGAACAGCACUUGAAGUUGCAACACACCAGGUAUUGCAAGAAUCCAGGUAUCCGCAUCCACCAUAUGGAGAGAUACCCAGCACAACCAAAGGCAUAUCUCUUUCUUUACAAAUAUACUACAUCAUGGCAAAGAUUGACACUAUUUUACAAGCGUUGUGUCUUGCAAACCCUAUCUAGCAUUAUCUAGUAUGCCUUUGAUUGAAAAAGCAUAAUGGAAGAAAAGAUAACAAGCAGAAUCAACUUCAAAUUCAAACAAACAAUAACAAUAAAAAAUACUUGAAGCAGCAGUGUAACAACAAUUUUUUGACAUAUAAUUUUUUCAAUGACAUACUCACUUGGCAGACAUCAACAAUUAUAGAAUCAUUACGAGCAAUGUGGUUUGCCCAAUACUCAUCAGCUACGUCUUCAUCAGGCCGGCCAUCAGCAUCUCUAGACUUUAUAUAUGGUUUGUGUUUCACGCGAUUCAGAUCUUCAUGAAGACCAUCUAGCAAAAAUGCCAAAAGCUCCUGAAACAACAAUUAGCUUUUAAGUUCAUCCAAAUUGCAUGUGUGCACGCUGCUGAAAACAUAGUGUCAAGUACCAAACCUGAGAAUCGUGCUGAUUGUAACCACUAAACUGAGGUGCAAAACGAGCAAGUUUUGUUUUAAAAGGUCGAGGAGCAACCGGUGUUCGUCCAGGUGCCCAUAGCUUCCGAAGUAACUCACCAAAUGCUAGAGCUAGCUCACCCUACAUUUUGACCAAUUCAGUGAAAAAAUUCAGCCAAAAAAGCAAAUCAGUAAAAUUUUCAAAACACAGAAACAUCAAACACCAUCUCAGUAUAUCCUUCAAAUCGCUUGCUUGGAUUUCAAUCCACAAGCUAAUUUUAACAAGAUAUCUACAGCAAUACCCUCAAGAAGAGUCAAGGUACUCCUUGAAAAUAUGUUUGACUGAACAUAAAAGCAAUCAUGGAGGUCUCACUACUAGCAUUCAUAAAGCUCUCAAGUACUACCAUUCAUAGGCAUGUCACUUAUGCCAAUUUUUUAAACUUUGAUCCCAUCUAUUGACAGGUUUAAUUGUUAAAGUCAUACUUAAAACCUAACAUUUAAGCGAUUAACCAAUCCAAGACUAAAACACCUAAAAUGUAAUAUGCAUUGAUGAGUAUUGACAUGUUAUUGAACACAUUAUUUUUGCACGUUUGUUAAGAAAAAAAAGGAUUCCUUCUCGAGAAGAGCUUUCUACAUUUAGGAAUAUGUAUAUCUAUAGAUACAUGCAAAACAAGGAAUCUUGUGGCUGCCUUUGUUGAGUUUAGCUGAGUAUUCAAUCACCACAAGCAUGAUGCAAGGUAGCUAGCUAAGCUAGUUUUCUAUUUAUGAGAAACAAAACCAGGUUAUCAAAAUAAAGUGGACAAAAAUACAACUGUCAACAACAUAUCCACAAGAGACACCCAAAAAAAAACUUGUGGCUAAGUCAACUAGCGGAUAACUGGAAAUAUUAAAAUCAAUUGUGUGUUUCCAUAACUACACAAGUCAUGAACCACAUAAGCUAAUAAAAAUUCUCACAAUAUGUACCAUAUAUUCAAGAUAUCCUAAUAGCGACUCAUCAUUCAUGUGCGUAUUGAAUUUUUCUGAAUCUAGAAAAUCCUAAAAUGCUAAAAGGAGAAUAAGGAACAGAAAUUAUGUCAGACCUCAAUAAUUUUGUGCAAGUGUCACAUACAGCUAGAUAUUGCAUGCUUGAUAAAAUAAACUUUUUGAGUUUAGCAAAUGACAGCAACAAAGCCACUUAGAAGACAACACUAGGAAAAAAAAAAGGAAAUUAAAUUUUAAAAACUGACUCACAAAAUUUGGCGGUCUUUUAUAACAACAAAAUUAUAGGUUUCAGGAUACUCAGAUAAAAAGUAACCAUGCAAAUAUACUAUAUUAGAAACUUACAACCAUGCCCAGAGGAUUUUGCCAGUUUAUCUCCUGAUGAUAAUCUUCCCGAAAAUAUCUAGCAAACUCCGGAGUAUGAACAAGGCACUGUAUAGCACUAUUCAUAAAACAAGUAUUCCCAAGGUUCUGCAACCCUGUCAAGCCACAAGACGACCCCCUAGUACUAACACCAAUUGUCCCAUAUGGAGUAUCCAAUUCUCUAGCAAUUAGGCCUUGACUUUGUAUGAGCUCCACGCUGUAGCUUCUUGAUGCGCCCUUGGUUGCAGAUAAACCUCCUGCAAUCGACAAGCUUGACUUAGAAGGCUCUACAAGAACAGAGGCACCUUCCUUCUCUAAAGAUCCAUUGUAGCGAACAGAACUUGUGGAUCUGCCCAAUGUGGUACCAUUGACAGGGUUAAGCACCUCCACCAGAAUCUGUUUUAAUUGAUCACAAAACAAAACCAACAUGAAAUUUUGGGGAAAAAAGACAAAAACAGAAGAAGAAGAAGAAGAAAGAAAGCUGUCGAGUAAUAAGCAUUUGCAGUAUUUAGACAUGUUACUCUCUAUGACUUUUACCAAGAUGUUAAACUCAUCAAGUUUUGUGUAGCAAUGCAUCAUUAACUAAAAAUGAUAGACUGAAAGAAAUUAUUUACUUCAUAGGAAGCUACACAUCUUACUCUCCAACUGGAACCAUAUAGAUCAUGAGCUUCUGCAUUUAGCAUCGUGCAUUUAUGUGCAAUUAAAUGAAUCUUUACCAUUCAAUUAAGCUAAGGGCCAUUUGGAUGGAGUGAUUUCAAAUCUAGGAAUUUAGAUGACAUUAUAACAUUAAACUGCUUAUUUAGACUACUACAGUCCAUGUAUGCCAAGAUUUGAAUAAGAAGGAACUCAAGAAAACAAAUGGAUUUCAAAUGACUCGAUGCAUAUAGUCAUUUCAAAUUCAUUUCAAAUGUAUUACAUCAAGUUAUUUCACAUACAUACAAUCCAAUGUUUUCUAAAUUUUCUUUAGCAAAUUUAGCUUUGUUGUCGAAUCCAAAUCAUUUCUUUCAAAUACUUCCAUCCAAAUGAAGCCCACUUCCAUCCAAAUGGAGCCCACUUCCAUCCAAAUGGAGCCUAAUGGAAUUAAUCAGUCCACGUCAGAUAAGAAUAAAACUCUCUUUUUGCACUUAGCCCUAAUCCAUUCCAAUGUCAGUCUCUUCUCCCCUCUAUUCUCCAAAAUGUCAAGUAGUCAAAUAGCUACAGCUGCUGUUUCAUAAGUAUCCAAAUUUAGAAUUUGAUUCCCAUAAACAAUAUCCCAUUUGCCUUCUUCUUAAGAAAGAUUAGAGUGGUUGUUAUGGAAAUGGGUGUUCUUCAUAAAAAUUAUAAUUAUAAUUAUAAUUAUAAAAAUAAAAAUAAAAGAAAAGAACAUGGAUGUCAUGUUCUUCAAUUGAAUCUGAGAGGAAGACAGAAUUAGUAGGAUUCACUAAUGUCAUCAACCCAAGAAUUAAAAAAAUUAUAGACUUCCAGAGUAGGCUUUUGACGCCUUCACCCAUCCAUCAAAUGACACAAAAGACAGUAGAUAUCUGGAUACUAUCAAAUGACACAGCUGUGUAAAGUUUUUUGUGAUUUUACGGAAGAGGUGGAAAGAUGACUUGAGGGAAGGAAAAAGAGACAGGCAAAGAGAUGGAAUUGUGGUAAGGUGAAAACGGAGAGUUUUAUUCUAAUCUUACAUGUACUGAUUUAAUUCCAUCAGAUUAAUUGAAUGGUCAAGAUUUGUCAAAAUGCACAUCAAUGCACCAAUCCUAAAUACAGAGGCGCAUGAUCUGGCAACAUAACCUCUUAAAGAAAAAGUGUGCAAACAAAACAGAUGCUUUUGUAAACCAACAUGGUAAAUAAUAAUAUUAAACAUUCUGUUUCUGGUGCACAGCAACACAAAAGCAAUAUAUCCAUACUUGAUGCUUUGAAGCAAACUUCAACUCAAACUUAAACACCCAUAACCUAUUUAUGAAAAUAGGAAUCUUCCGAUGAUAUCAUGCAAAUGGAGUAAAACAUUCAAGAUUCCAUGAUUAAGAAACAUCUUUAUGAAACUGUAGCCUUAAAUCAGAACGUGAACGUACGAAAGGUCCUAUGUACCAUCAUAUGAAAAUUAUGAAGCCCUAUGCUAAAGCAGAAUUUUGCAUAGUGGUUCUAAUAAAGUGGUGGAACAAACUAAGACUCACAUCUUGAUCCAUCUGUAUAUUGGCAUCAUCAAGUGUUUUAUCCAUGUCGUUCAUCAGUGCAUGUUUCCGGCGGCCAUAGUAAUCCCAAAUGCAUACCUUCAGGUGAGGAAACUCUCAAGUAACAAAAUAGCUGGAGUAAAUGCGCUGCUGAAUAAAAGAUUUAAAAUAAAGACACUGAAACUAGAUGCAGUAGUAGCAGAGUCAUAGGAAACUAUUACUUGUUCCAUGCUAAGAUCAAAGAUAUCACAAGCUCUUCUGUGAAGUUCUGCAAUGGUUUCCUGCCCAAAAUAUUUCAAUCUUCAGGUUAACAAAAUAAAUAAAUAAAUCAGCAUAUACUUAGUAAGACCUUACUAAAGAGGCACAAUUGCCACUGAAGAAAGUGGUAUAUCAAGACCUGCCUAUUUUACCUUCUUGCUUAUUCUUAUAAUAGAGCGGUCACCUUUUGGCAUCACAAGUAAUUGAAGACGCAGAGGGUACACUUCUACUGCCAUCUCCGUCUGAGAAAGACCUGAACUAAUCACUUUCCUUGGCAAUGUUGGACCACCACCAUACCUAUAACCAGCAAACACUAUUAAUUCUAUUUACACUUCAUCUUGCAGGAAUACAGCACAUGUAGUCUACACCUAACUUUUUUUUUUUUUUUUUUUUUGGAAGGGAAUACUCUAGACUAAACAUUUGGAAGGGAAUACUCUAGACUAAACAUUCUCCUCCAACCACACUUAGAAAUUGAUAAAUCCAACAGGUUGAAAACACAGAGAUGAAACUUGACAUCAAUUCACAAGGGUAAUCAUUUAAGAGUACGGAGAGAUAGUACAGUCUUCAUUAUUCCUUCCAAUCCAAAGUAUGUAUAUGCUGUACGGUCACUGAAAUGCAAAUCUAAAGGGAUUUUACGGAAGGCUGGUUUAUUCCUAAAAUGUUCACUUUUCUCAAUCGACUGUUUGCAUUGCAACAAUUUUUUUAUACAAAAAAAAAAAGGAAAGAAACAAAUCUCUAGAAUACAAUUCAUUCAAUUCAAUUAGUGGUAGUGGUGUCUCAGUAUUACUUCUGAGUUUGCUUAUAUAAGGCAUGAUGCAAUACCUUUCUCAUCAUUUCCUAGUAAACAAAAUGACAUCAACCAGAAGUCUAGUAAUAUUUCCCACAUCUGAACACAUUGCAUUUACAUAGAUAAUAUAUAUGUGUGUGUGUGUGUGUGUGUGUGUGUGUGUGUGUGUGUGUGUGUGUACAAUAACAUCUAUGUGAAUACGAAUUUUCAGAGUGGUAGGGGUAACAAAGAAAGGCAUGACAUUUCCACACCAUGUAUGCAAUUGGUUCCAAACUUCUUGUGGCAGCAACACAUAAUCACGGCCUUCUAGCAAAGUAUCAUGUAUGUCAAUGCCCGAAUUGGUAUCCGCUGAUGCUGCAUCAUAUAUUAAGUCAGAAUUAUCAAUACCAGCAGGCCUCUUCAAGGUACUGGAACCAGCCGAAUCAUAAUGCUCUGACACAAAGGAUGCAUCGUUUGGGUUAUUGGGUUGGUCCUGGUUCACAUAAUCAAUCCAAUGUUGCCACCAUCUAUAUUGGGAACCAAUUAAAAAGACAUUAGAAGCAAUUUUCAUAUUCAAGAUGAGCCCAUAAAACAAAAGCAUUCAUUAGAACAUAUGAAUUUACAGCCUGUUUUGCAGCAAACCAAGAUUUUUCUUUUAACAAAAACCAAUUUAAAAAACACUGAAACAUGAACAUUUCACAAAGAAGAACAAAUUUCUGAUAAUUUAAAAAAUUAAUAAUCAAAUGCAACAUGUUAUUAAGAAAAAUAAUAUUAUGUUUAGACAAACAAGACACAAAGUUCAAACCUCUGAGUAAGCAAGUAGAAGAUGUCACCCUCUUUGGAAUUAGCUUCAGCAGCCAAAGCAAUGUCUCUUAUCAAAAUCCUUUCUUCCUCUGGAGAAAGCUCCAUACUUCUACUCCUGCUGCGCAUAGACACUGCCGCCAUACCUCACCGACCUGAAUGGUACUGCUAUCCAAAUUACAAAAUUACAAAGGUUUUCUUGUUCUUUUUUUAUAUGCUCUCCAGUUGCAUCAUAUUAAAUGGCAUUUUCAGGUUCUAAAUCAAGGUUGUAGAACCCCAGAAGAUAUUUGAAAACUCAUGAGUUCCACUCUAAGAUAUAAAUACAGUAGGCUAAGAUCAAAAUGGCACGACUGGACUUCCACUGGACUAUUGCAUCACACUGAUUGAUCAGAAACCAAACUCUGCUCAAGGAAGUUGCAAUGAUUUUUUAUUUUUUAUUUUUUAUUUUUUAUCAAAAGUUGCAUUGAUCAUUUGAAGAAGCUAAAUCUAAACAUAGUUUUAAGAGAUCCCAGCUUUUUUUUUUGUUUUUCUUCUGGUGGUAAAUGUGUAAUGCAAAUUUCAGCCAUAUCAACAAAACCAAAUCCAGAAUUUCCCACUUGAAUGAAAGUUCAACUUCAUAUUCAACCCACCAUCUCAAUGAAACCCAAAAUACAAAUUUAAACAAAUUCAUCAAAUUUACCAAGCUAAUAUUAAAUAGAGAAAAAGGAGGGAGAACUGUCUACCUGAGCGCAGAGAGAGCGACCACCUCCUCGAUCCAAGAGAGCUACCACGUUGUAGAUGUAAGUGAGAGCAAGUAGGAGGGAGAGCGCGAAGAGGAGGGAGAGGCAGUGAGCAGGAAAAGAGAGAUAGCCGAAGUGAGCAAGAGAGCGGAAGAGAGAGCUGGAGAGAGAGACCGACGGAAUAGAGAGCGAUGGAGUUUCACGCUGAGAAGACGAAGAGAGGGCUCAAGUCCAGAUGGGCUGAGAGGUGCAUCACGAUGGGCCGAUGAUUUCAAAUAAGGGGGACUUAGAGCCCUUCCAUCAAUGCAGCCCAGCCCGAGGCGAGGGCAGAAAAAAAAAAAAAUUUCGCUCCAGCGUUGCGCCCAGGCCCGGGGGUGGUGUGGGACCCACCAUCUCGGGCCAGCCCGAAGGCGAAACCAGCCCCAGGUCCACAACGCGGUUGCUGACGUCAGCACUCGCGUCACGCUGACGUCAGCUAGCGCGUUUAAAUUUUUUUUACCGUUGGCGCGUGUUUGAACCAGCGCGCGCUGACGUCAGCGCGACGCCAGCGCCAACGGUACGCUGCCACGUGUCGCCUCCAACGCCAUCCGAUCUGCUUCUGAGGAUUAAUCCAACGGCUGAGGCUUUUUUGGGGGAAAAAAUAUGAAAAAAAAUCGUAAAAAAUUCUAAAAAAUUCUAAAAAAUUCUGAUAUUUUUUUUCUAUAAAUACCUAUCAAUACCCUUCACUUUCAACACCAAUACUCUUACAUUUCAUUAUACUUCUACUAUUAUUCACUCUUUUUACACAACAUUUUCCUCUUUUUCAUCUAGCAUUUUGAUUUCACAUUUUUAUGGCUUCUUCUAUCGAAACUGGAGGGGCUUGGAGCAUCAUGGAAGAUGCUUCAUUGUGUGAGGCUUGGCUCCAAAUUUGUCAUUGUCCCGUGUCCGGCAAUGAGAUGAAAUUUUUUCAUAUAUGGAAAAAAAUUCAUGCCGAAUUUUGUGAAAAAAUUCCGGGGUCUACUCUACGGAGAUGGCGUUAUCCAGUAGGUGGAAAAUCCUGAAUAAAGAGUUGGGAAAAUGGAGAAAUGCCCUAGCAAAAGCGAUGGACAACUAUAGAAGCGGGCAAAAUCGUACUAACGAGGUAAGUAUUUUAUAAUUUUUGUUUUAUUAAGUUUAAUCUCCUAAUAUAUAUAAUUUGUUAAUAUUGCUUGCAUUUUCAAUAUUUUGUUAAUAUUUCUUGCAUUUUAAAUAUUUUGUUCAUAUUUCUUGCAUUAUCAAUAUUUUGUUAAUAUUUAUUGCAAUUUAAAUAUUUUGUUCAUAUGUCUUGCAUUUUCAAUAUGUUGUUAAUAUUUCUUGUAUUUCCACUUGUUUCUUAAUUUUCUUGCACUUCUAAUUUAUUUGUAAGGUUAAUUGCAUUUUCAUUAUUAUAUUUUUUGUUACUUGCAUAUCCAAUAUAUUUUAAAUAUUUAUUGCAUUUCUAAUUUUUUGUUAAAUAGAUUAUACAAGCACAAAUGUGGUUCGGUGCAACCGGGGGUGGCAAAAAAAGUUUCACCCAUCAUGAAUGUUGGGAGGUGGUCAAAUAUUGCAAACGGUUCAUAAUUAUUCCAACGGGUCCCGACGUUGUAUUAAACGAGACGCCACUCCGUGAUUCAAUGGCACCGGAUUCACCUCUUGAUUCUCCUAUGAGUCAAGACUCACCCAUGGAAAAGGAGCCGAGGCCCAUUGGCCGAAAGGCCGCGAAGGCAAAGAAAGUGGGUAAUUCAAGCAAUUAUAAUUCAAAGUUUUUGGAGGAAAUUGCAAGGCAAAAUGGCCUAAGAAUUGAAAUGGAGCAAAAACGCCAAGAUAACGAGUUGACCCUUCAAGCUGAGUAUGCACGAGAAAGGGAGUAUUUGCGCAAAAAAGAUAUAGACAACACGGAUCGGGAAACCAUGGCCAUGGAUACAAGUCAUAUGUCCCCUGAAACAAAACAAUUUUGGAAACUAGAACGAAGGGAUGUUAUGAGAAGAAAACUUUUCCGGGAUGAUGGGCCUAGCAACACGGAUUGGUUAAAUGAUGGAAACCAUUAAAUUUGUUAGCCUACCUUUUAUGUAUGACUAUUUUUCAUGUUUUCUUUUAAAGUUGUUGUAAUUCAUGUGUUUUAUUUUAGUAGUAGUAAUUCGUAAUGACUUGUAUUAGAUUUCGUUAUUUAAUAAACAAAGUAUUCAAUAAAUUACCUUUUUAUUCAACAUAUUCCAUACUUCAAACAAAACAAAAUAAAAAUAAAAAAAACUACAAACAAGGCACAAUAAUAAUAACAAACCACAACCAAAGCAUAAUGAAUAAAAAUACAACACAACCAAACCAUAAACCAAAACAUAAUAAAUAAAAAUACAACACAACCAAACCAUAACUAAAUAAAACAUAACCAAAGCAUCUAUGCUCCAUCAUUCUUCUUCAUUGCCUUUCACCGCCCAUAGAUGCUCCAUCAAGUGAACUUGACGCAUUUCAUGAAUAUACGAAGAUUGCAUCUCUGUAUAUCGAUCUAUCAUUCGGGUCAUCAAAUGACCAUCCCUCACCAACGGUUCCAGCUCAAAUGGUUCUCCACUUGGUCCUAUGGGCCUUUCAUAAAUUCGUGUCAAAGCCGUGUUCAUUGGAUCCGGUUCGUACACCUCUAAAGCAUCAUAAUCAUACUCAUCCUCCACAAUCAUAUUAUGGAGGAUGAUGCAAGUCAUCAUAAUGCUUCUGAGGAUCUCCUCAUCAAACAUACGGGCCGCACCUCGAAUAAUCAACCACCGAGCUUGAAGGAUACCAAAACACCUUUCGACAUCUUUCCUGUAUCCCUCUUGAUAGGUAGCAAAUAAUUUUUGCUUCUGGGAUCGAGGAUUCGGAAUAGAUUUGACAAAAGUGGUCCACCUCGGGUAGAUGCCGUCAGCUAGAUAAUACCCCGUCUGGUACACUGUAUUAUUGACUUCAUAGGUGAUAUUGGGGCCUGACCUCUCAAUACAUCGUUGAAGACCGGGGAUUGACCCAGCACGUUGAGGUCAUUUUGUGAUCCUGCAACUCCGAAGAAGGCAUGCCAAACCCAUGUGUCGAAACCAGCAACCGCUUCAAGGAUGAUACUUUUUUGGCCUUUUAGAUUUCCAUAAUCACCUUGCCAGGCAGUUGGGCAAUUCUUCCAUUGCCAGUGCAUGCAGUCGAUGCUACCAAUCAUUCCAGGGAAUCCUCGAGCUUCGGCUUUUUGUAGAAGCCGUUGGAGGUCCCUGGGAGUAGGUCUACGCAGGUAGUCCCUAGUGUAUAGAGUUUCAACAGCUUGACAAAAUCUUACCAAAGCCUCCAACGUAGUGGACUUCCCCAUCCGGGCAAUCUCAUCCACCUGAUCAGCAGAUGCUCCAUACGCCAACAUUCGUAUAACAGCUGUAAGCUUUUGCUCCGGAAGAAGCCCCAAAACCCCAGCAGCAUCACACUUUUGAACAAAGUAUGCAUCAUAAUUGCAAAUAUCAUGCAUGACUUUAUUGAACAAAUGAGGUUGCAUUCUAAAUCGCCUUCGAAAAUCAACAUCAGAGUACAAAGAAGUUGGGAUAAAAUAAUCUUCCAAAAGAUUCUUACCCCUAGAAUGCCUAUGUCUUUCCACAUUCCGGCGGCGGCCGGCUUGUGAACUAUGGCGGCGACCUUGGUUCUCUUCUUCUUCCAAAGCCACUGCUAUGAGAACUUGCUCAUCGACUUGUCUCUGCAACUCAUUGACUUCAUCUGCUCUACGGUUUCUCUCUCUUAUUUCUCUCUCUUGUCUCUCCAAGCAUCUCCUAAAUUCUUCCAUUCAGAAUGAAUGAAGUAUGAAUUAUAAACUCUCAGAAAUGAAAAUAUAGAAAGAUGUGGUGUGAGAGGUAUGAGCUGAGACUCUGAUUUUAUAGAAAAAUUUGGCAAGAUAGACAUGCCACGUGGCUUGAUUUUAUUGGAUGAAAAUCUUAUCUGAAAUUUGAAAUUCAUCCGAAAUUUGAACCCUAAUUUGUAUGAAAUUCAAAUUUUGAAAUUCAUCCGAAAUUUGAACCCAAAUUUAUCUGAAAUUUGAACCCAAAUUUAUCUGAAAUUUGAACCCAAAUUUAUCUGAAAUUUGAAUUUUGAAAUUCAUUCGAAAUUUGAACCCAAAAAUUUAUCUGAAAUUUGAACUUUGAAAUUAAUCCGAAAUUUGAAUCCAAAUAUCUUAUCCGAAAAUUUUAUCUGAUUAUUAAUAGUCUUGACACGUAGGAAUCCGAAAAUCUUAUCUGAAAAUAUUACCCAAAUUAAUUAUUUUCAUUAAAAAAAUAGGAGGAAAAAACAAAAAAAUGAAUAGUAAUUGCCAUGGCUAAGGGCAACGGGUAGAGACACAAUUUACUAUUUGCAAGGGCAAGCACUAUUCACGUGAAUAGUGCUUGCCCUAGCUCCACCCUUGCCAUGGCUAAGGGCAAAUGGGUGGAGUUGCUCUUACGGGGGACUUUUGGGGUGUAUUCAAUUCAAGUAGGGGUGUAUUCAAUUCAUACUUGUAAAGACUCUUUUUUUUUUUUUUUUCAAAUGUGUGACUUUCAUAGAAUUGGCAAAUUCUCAAAUACUUUUAUAGACUUUAUAAAAGUCAUUAGUAAUUUGGCAAGAUUUUUGCUCUUAAUAAUUAGCCUCAAAAGUAUGGAAAAGUCAUUUAUUUAAUAAGCUUUUUAAAAGUCAUUAACUUUUCGGAUACCACUAAACUUUUAAAUACUUUUUAAAAGUCACAAUUGAAUAUCAUUAAACUUUUAUAUGCUUUUUAAAAGUCUAAAUUAAAUACCUCCAGACUUUUAUACUCUAUAAAAGUCAUUAAAAGUUUGAAUUGAAUACACCCCCUUAAUUUUGGGCAGAGCAGCUUCAAUAAUUGUAUGCAAAUUUGCACUCGAAUCAGGUGGGAACAAUGAGAACCUUAUAUGAGAAUCAAUCGCAGCUGUUGAAAUGCAUCUGAACGGUUUAGGAGAAAAAGCAAGCUUAUGGUGCAAACGGGUAGGCUAUAGUUUCUCCUUAGCCCAUGUGUCAAGUCAUGCCUCUUUCGAGAAGAAAAAAAUGCGUCUUUGUUCUUCCUUACAGUCGCGCCUUUCUUCUUCAUUAAUUUAUGAAUGAAUCUUAAUCAUAACUCCCAAAAUUUCACCUACCAUACGUAAAUUUGUGUAUUCCUCUUCUCUUGUUGUAGAAACUCCCUGUUCUCUUUCACUUCCUCUUCUGUUGUCCCAGAACCUCCCUCAUCUAGUCUUUCUAUUUCUCAAUCAUCUAAAGUCAUCUGAACGUUUGAAUCGGUACGUUUCUCUCAAAUUCCCUCUCUCUUUCAUAUUAAGGUUUGCAUGUUAUAUUGCAUUCCCUUAUUUGUUUAGUAUGUUGAUAUUCUAUUUUCUAAAACUUUCUUUUGUCCACUCAUAUUUUUUAAUGUUUUGCACCUCCGGCAGUAAGAGUGUACCAGAGCACCACCACCGGGCGAUCAUCACCCACCACUCAUCUUUUUUUUCUUCCACUAUGUAGGAUAUUCUCAUGUACUCGUACUACUUUUGUAAAUUAACUGAACUAGCAUGCUCUGAAAUUGCCCUAGUGUUUUCUGUAAGGCCUGAGGCCACAAAGAUUGGAUAUUGGAUCGCGUGAAUUCUAACCUUGUGCAUGCUGAACGGUUGUGGAUAUUUGAAUUGAGUUUCGUACAUGUGAAAAUUUUUGGGAAACGAGCAAUUUACAAACACUACAAAAAAAGGGGUCAUUACCGACCAAAAUUUUCCGAGGGCCCCGAAAUUCCCUCAGUAAUAGUGUUUUUUCCAACCAAAAAAUGUUGUCAGUUGGAAAUAUGUUACGGGCCUGAAAUUUAUUUCCGACAAAGCAAAUACUCUCCGAAAAAGUCUCGAUUGUCGUCGGAAAUAUAAUAUAUUUCGCGGGAAGACUUGGCGUUAACUUUAUUACCGACCAAAAGUAUGUUUGAUGGAAAUAAGAUGAUUAUUUCUGAGGGCCUUCUCAAUCCGUCGGAACUGUUUGACUAUUUCCAAUGGGCUUCUUAUUCCGUCGGAAUUGCUUGAAUAUUUCGGAGGGGUUCUCCUUUCGUCUGAAUUGUUUGACUAUUUUUAGGAGAAAUAUGUCCUCUAGGAAAAACGUUUGAAUGUCAAUUUUCCAUUAGAAUAAGUAAAAAAGAUUUGAUUGCUAAUAACCAAUCACACUCCAAAAUAAAUAACUAAAAAUAGCCAAUCCAAAAAAAAUAGAUAAUUACAAAAAAAUAGACAAUCACAAUUACAUGACAACUCAUCCCAUAGUUGUAAGUUGAAUCACAUUCCUUCUUCAAUCAAUUUCAUUGUCUUCAACAUCAUUUUGGAUGGCAUGCAUGCUUUGACUUUGAGUCUCUGCUUCUUGGUAUGGCUCAAUCUCAUCAUUAGUCAUCUCAUAAGCAUUUCUUGGAUUUGUUUCCACUACAAAACUCCAAAUUUUAUUUUUAAUCCCUUUCACAUAAAAAAACUUGGCUUGCUUGGCUUGCUAGUACGAAUGGCUCUUGAGUAUUUAGUCUGCGUGUUGUAUUAACAGUGAUUAUUCCAUAACGAUCUAUCUUGUAACCUGUUCCUUUUCGCGUUGUGUCAUACCAAUCACAAUUGAACAAUACAACUCUAUUUCCUUCUGUGUAACGGAGCUCAACAAUAUCUACUAAGGUUCCAUACCAAGGCACAUCGUCAAUCUGAUUCUCCCCCUUAACCAUUAUUAACAGGACCCGACCCAAAUUCUGCUUUGGAAUCUGAGCCGAACCUUGUGCGUGUCCAACACCUGGCAAGUUUCGGGCACAAUUGACCUAAUUGCCCUUCUACUCAAAACUCAAGUCCAUUUUAGGUUUGACUCCUGCCGAAAAAUCAGCAGAGUUUUCCAUGUAAUUCGAGCAUUACCAAAAUUUACACCUGUCAAAAGCAAGCAUAUAAAUAUAUACACUAACUGCCAGUAUGCAUACAUAUACAUUCUAACAGUUAAGUCUAAGUGCUAGGACAUGUUAUCAGAGCAACCACUAAGAAAUUACAAAAGAAGUUAGCUCAAAUACAGAAGAGCCCUACAUCAGAAUGGGGGAAGCGCGGAAAGUGGGAAACGGCCCUGUGGUGGAUCACUGUGUGCACCUACUGCCUAGGGGGCAAAACAUUGAAAAUGUGAGUGGACCAAAAACAAAGUUUAGAAAAUAGCAUAUGAACAUACUAACCCCAUUUGUAAAAACAGUUGUAAAAACUGAAUCAAUAUCCUCAUAUAUACUCAUACUGAACUCAUGCAUUCAUAUUUAUAUAUAUAACACCAAACAAUAUUCCUACUGGAAGGUAUUGAAGUAAAACUCAACCUAUCAUAUAGGUAUACUUAUUUAUUCUCACCAAAACCCUUACUUACUAUUUAUACCUCGUGUCACCGUGGUGACACACCCUCGCAGGACUCAAGUUAGCAUAUCCGCCCUCCUCGCAAGACUCAAGGGACACUAAGCCCACUUGAGUUGCAUUUCUCACUCCCACAGUUCGAAUAUCCCUAAGUCUUGUGGGGCCAAAGUCAAGCAUGCUAACUUAACUAAAGACUCUACUUUAAAAAAAUAAAAUAAAACUAUUUCCUCUCAUGUUAAAACUCUGCCGCCAUCCUAACCGAUUACUAAAGUCCUUGAUUUUACUAUACUUAGGUACUCUCAUCUCAGCAGCAAAUAACUAAAAUACUUAACCUUAGCCAUACAUGCCAGAAAGCCCUCGAUCUAAUGCAUAUUUCUAUAGAUCACAUACUGAAUAUAAAUUGCAUAAAAUCAUUUUAAAAACAAAGGUCCACUCACCCCUGAUCCGAGCUAGCUGGACCUCUUGAAGGUCCUUCCUGCAGGUCAGUCCAUGCCCAUGUGCCUGAUUAAACAUCAUGAAUAUCUGAUCAGUUCACAAUUGUAUAUCAUUUUGUACCCUUCUAGCUUAUGAUUUGGUUAUGUUAUUGAGUCAAACGUGUGCUUUUAAUCCCUUUUCUGUUUAUCAUUCAGUUCAUUGGGCCUUAGGUAGCAAUGGUGUCUUUGGAUAAGAAAAGAUGCAAAAUGGUGCAAAAACGAGCAAACUGGGUUAGCAACUCAUUUCGGCCUUAACAUCUUUCUCCGAACUUGGAUUGGCCCAAAUAAUAUGUAGUUGGAAAGAUGAGAGUCUGAACUUCAAGAUGGACUACUCAAAUGCAUCAUAUUAUGAAGUUGAACCCAAUUCGUGAGCCCAUAUACACACCAGGCUCAGGAUUGCAGUUUCCAGUUGUUGAGCCUUGGAUACUUUCUUUGAGCCAUGUGACUCACCACAGCUUUCCUUGACUUUAGACCUGACAUGUUGAGCAAUUAAGGGAGGUCUGUCAGCUACUCAAGUGCAGAGGAGAGCCAUGUGACUCACCACAGCUUUCCUUGACUUUAGACCAGACAUGUUGAGCAAUUUAGGGAGCAAUUAAGGGAGGUGUGUCAGCUACUCAAGUGCAAAGGAGCCUUGACUUUAGACCAGACAUGUUGAGCAAUUUAGGGAGCAAUUAAGGGAGGUGUGUUAGCUACUCAAAGGCAAAGGAUUCACUCAAUUGACCAAUAAUUCACUCCAGCCAUCCUAUAUCACUCCAUUCAGCCCAAAAUCAGGAGGAGGAACAACUCCAACAAGCCUUCCUUCCAUUUCCUACGAAUUUGUUCUUUCUCUGCCAUCACCAACCACCCAAACUCAUCCCGAAUCACCUCUUUAGUUGCCAUACUCUAGACAUGAGAAAGUUCUUGGAGUAGCAUUAGAAGUGGAGAAGCACCUGGAGAAGCCUUGGAAACCACAAGCAACUUCAGAAUUGGGUUUCUCUACUCUUAUUGCAUUCAAUAUGUUUUCUCAUUUUUGCUUAAGUUUCAUUUCCAUUAUGAGUAGCUAAAUUCAUAACUAGGGCUAUGAUGUAACCUAACAUGAAUAUUCUGGGUUUAUAAGUUGAAGUUUUGAGUUUCAAGUUUGAUUCAUGAUUCAUAUUCCUAUUCUUUAUGCUUAUCAGUUAAUAUGCUUGUUUGGAUGAUUGAUCACCAUUAGAACUCGUAUAUUAGCUACCUUGGUUUGAAUCAAGAGUAGACACCAUGCUUUGAUUUGAAUUGAACUAUGAAUAAGAAAAGUAUGUAUGGACAUUCGACAACAGGGAUUAGAUACAUGCUUGGUUGUUUAAAUUGUUCUUCUAUGCUUAAUGGGUUCCUAAUGCUUAAUUUAGAUUAGACAACAAAUGAUCAAGUUAGGGAAUUAGGAGCACAGGGUUAGGACCAGACACCAUGGCCUAAUCAUACUUUAGCUAGAAUCAAUCUUUGAAUUCGAAUGAGACUUGUCACUUGACUCCUUAUAACCCAGAAUUGAAUUGUUAUGGUGAAUCGAAUGCCCUAGUCUCCCAAUCUGUUUUCCAGCCUACAAAAGUACUCUUUGUUACAUUUGUUCACUUUGCUUUUGUUUGAAAUUUCGUUUUGCCUCAUUUGUUCAACAAUUACAAUCACUCUUGCUUUAAAUUCUAUUUUAGACUUAACCUCCUACUUUCUUGAAUUUGGUAAUCUAAGUACAUAACUAAUUUUAACUUCUCAGUCCUCGUGGGUACGACCUCGUACUUGUCUUGCUAUACUACUAAUUGGCCCGUACAAUUGCGAGUUAACAUUUUAACAACAAAUUUUGGCGCCAUUGCCGGGGACUGAAUGAAAGUUCUUCCCUGGUUAUGUGCCCAAGGUUACCCUAUUCUUUUAGAAGUACUAAUUAACUCAAAUUAUUUUCUGUUUCAGGUAGUUUAUGUCUAGUAAUCCUUUCCUUGAACAAGUGAGGUCUUCAUUCCAACGUUCGAGAUCUUCGAACGCAGGGCCAUCUUUGCAACCAAACCGGGUGAUCUCUGAAAUUCAGAAUCGUCUAGAAAGAGAGUUAGCAACUGCAAAAGAGCAAGCCAUUGCCACAUUUGAAGGUCUUGCUAUCCACACUGACCUCCCAGGGUCUUCACCUUCAAAUUCGGAAUCAAGUUCAGACCAAGAAGAAGAAGAGAUGGCUGCCAAUGAGUUCAUGGGAGACCUUGAUAUCCCAACAAUUCCAGCAUCCCCUUCAAGCAUCUUGCUGCCCACCGCAGCUCGAAACUAUGAGCUUAAAUCUUCUCAUCUUAAUAUGCUCCCUUCUUUUUAUGGUUUACCUAAUGAAGAUCCAUUAACUCAUAUAAAGGAUAUUUUUAAUGUUGUGAGCUCUUUUCCCUUGACAGGUGUGACGGAAGAGCAACUUCGAAUGAGAGUGUUUCCUUACACUUUGAAAGAUAAGGCGAAAUAUUGGUUGAAUUCUUUGAAGCCUGGUUCACUCAUGACUUGGGGAGCCAUUCAAAAGAAGUUCUUGGAGAAAUAUUUCUCCACGCAAAAAACUGACAUGCUUAGGGACAAGAUCCUUCUAUUUGCACAACAAGAUGAUGAGUCGUUUUGUCAAGCAUGGGAGAGAUUCAACGGGCUGCUCAAUCAAUGUCCUCAUCAUGGGAUUCCAUUGAAGCUUCAGAUGCGUAUGUUUUAUAAAGGACUAACCCCCUGUAGCCAUAAUAUUGUCACUAAUUUUGCAGGUGGUUCUUAUAAGACUAAAACUCCAGAAGAAACAUAUGAACUCUUUGAGGAGAUAGCAAUGGAGACCCAACACACCGAUACAAGAGGUAAACGUAUUGCUGGUGGUUCUAAUGAUUCUUCCAGUGUGCAGAUUUCCAAAUUGGAACAAAAGCUAGAUGCCCUCCUUGCAUUGAACUCAAGAAACCCUUUGAAGGAAGUGUGUAGCAUCUGUGAAACUCAUGAUCAUCCUACCAUUUCUUGUCCCUUUGGGGCUGCAUAUCCAGAAUUUGUGCAAGAGCAAGCUAAGUUGGUGAAUUCCUACAACCGAGGUCCAAUAAAUGACCCAUAUUCUCAAAGUUAUAAUCCAGGUUGGAGGAAUCAUCCAAACUUUUCAUGGAGGAAUACACAGAAUCAAGCGAAUCCCCCUUCACUCCAAAGGCCACAACAAUCAUCAUCGUUGGAGGAUAUAGUGAAGCAAAUGGCAAUCAACCAAAACAAUUUCCAGCAAACAACACAAGCUGCCAUCUCCAAGUUGGAAGUCCAAUUGGGCCAGAUAGCUACUGAAAUAGCUCAAAGAGAACCUGGGAAAUGGCCAAGUCAAACCGUGAUCAAUCCAAAAAACCAAGAAGCCAAGGCCGUUCAUGUGCUCAGAUCAGGUAAGAUUGUUGAUAACAAAGUUGGUUCUGAUCUAUCAAAUGAUGUUGUGGUUGUAGAGGAUGAAGAUGAGAGGAAACCACAGCUAUGGAAGGAGAACAACCCAAAACGUCCCAAUCUGCUCCUAAGGCCAAAUCUGAUUCUCAGAAACCCAAUCCAUUUCAAUUGCAUAAAAGAGAUGACAAAUUUGUGCCAUCACAUCUUCAUCAAGAUAGAUACAUCCCACCUCCUCCAUAUAUUCCACCGAUUCCAUUUCCAGGCCGUUUGAAGAAAGCAAAUCAAGAUAAGGCUUUUAAAGAGAUUUAUGAUAUUUUGAGUAAAGUUAAUAUCAAUUUGCCCUUGCUUGAUGUUGUUAAACAGAUUCCUGCAUAUGGAAAGUUCAUCAAGCACUUGAUGACUCACAAGCUCAAUUUUACUCCAAGUGAAGAAGUAAAGCUCAACAAGAAUGUGAGUGCUGUGUUGCAAAGGAAGCUUCCAUCAAAACUAGAAGAUCCUGGCAGCUUUAACAUUCCCAUUAACAUCGGAGAUAAGACGGUUGGAAGAGCCAUGUUGGACUUGGGAGCAAGCAUCAAUGUAAUGCCAUAUUCAGUUUAUCAGGCGCUUGGCUUAGAAGGGAUAAAGAAAACCUCAAUUCGUCUUGAACUAGCUGAUCAUUCUAUCAAAUAUCCAAAAGGUAUUGUAGAAGAUAUUUUAGUUCAAGUUAAUACACUCAUUCUUCCGGCUGAUUUUGUAGUGAUGGAUAUGGAGGAUACCCCAUAUGAAGACUGUGUUGAUCCCAUUCUCCUCGGGCGACCAUUCAUGGCCACUGCAGACACAAUCAUCAAAGUGAAAGAUGGCACCCUCUCCAUGACUGUUUUGGGUGAAACUGUUGAAUUUAAAGUGUUUGAUGCUCUGUCUCAACCUUCUAUCACUCUUGAUACUUGUUUUUCAAUUGAUGUUGUGGAUCAUGAGGUUUCUUCUAAAAUUGUGCAGAAAAAGUCUAAUGAUGCUUUGGAAGCGGUCCUAACACAAGAAGAGGAAGAUCUCUUUGAAUCAGAGUUCCAAGAAGUGAUGGCUGCCUUAGAAGUGUUUCAGCCAUACCCACCAUCCUUUAGGCCACCACUUGAGCCUCUUGUAUCAUCCUCCACAAAAUUGGAGCCAUCCAUUAUCACCCCACCAAAGCUAGAACUUAAACCUCUACCCAAUCAUCUUAAAUAUACUUAUUUGGGUGCUAAUAAAACUCUCCCUGUUAUAAUUGCUACAAGUCUCACUUCACAUGAAGAGGACAGCUUAAUUGAAGUUCUGAAAGAACAUAAAACAGCCCUUGGAUGGACCAUAGCAGACAUCAAAGGAAUUAGUCCAAGCAUGUGCAUGCACCGAAUUUUAAUGGAAGAAGACAGCAAACCAUCUCGUGAUGCACAAAAGAGGCUAAAUCCCAAUAUGAAAGAGGUGGUUAGGGCUGAAGUUUUGAAGCUACUCGAUGUGGGAAUCAUCUACCCAAUUUCAGAUUCUAAGUGGGUGAGUCCUGUGCAAGUGGUUCCAAAGAAGUCCGGAAUCACCGUUGUAAAGAAUGAGAAGAAUGAGCUAGUUCCAACACGCACUAUCACUGGUUGGAGAGUUUGCAUUGAUUACAGGAAGUUGAACACAUCCACGAGAAAAGAUCAUUUUCCCUUGCCUUUUAUUGAUCAAAUGCUUGACCGUUUAUCUGGCCAUGCUUACUACUGUUUUCUUGAUGGAUUUUCAGGUUAUAAUCAAAUUCCCAUUGCUCCGGAAGACCAGGAGAAAACCACGUUCACAUGCCCAUUUGGUACAUUUGCUUAUAGAAGGAUGCCAUUUGGUUUGUGCAAUGCUCCAGCAACUUUCCAAAGAUGCAUGAUGGCAAUCUUUUCUGAUAUGGUGGAACGAUUCAUGGAGGUAUUUAUGGAUGAUUUUUCAGUUUUUGGUUCAUCUUUUGAUGAUUGUCUUCACCACUUGUCUCUAGUGCUUACAAGAUGUCAGGAAACAAAUCUGAUUUUGAAUUGGGAGAAGUGUCACUUCAUGGUAAGACAAGGAAUUGUGCUAGGCCAUGUUGUUUCAAACAAGGGAAUUCAAGUGGACAAAGCCAAAAUAAAUAUCAUCACAAAUCUACCACCCCCUUCCUCUGUUAAAGGAGUUAGAAGUUUUCUGGGUCAUGCUGGAUUCUAUAGAAGGUUCAUAAAAAAUUUUUCAAGCAUUUCAAGACCAUUGUGUAAUCUCCUUGCUAAGGAUGCUGUUUUUGAGUUUGACGAGAUUUGCAUGGAAGCCUUUACGACUUUGAAGAAAGAGCUAACUUCAGCCCCUAUUAUCAUAGCUCCAGAUUGGUCUUUACCAUUUGAAAUAAUGUGUGAUGCCUCUGACUUUGCUAUUGGUGCAGUUUUAGGUCAAAAGAAGAACAAGCUUCCCCAUGUGAUUCAUUAUGCGAGCCGGACCUUGAAUGAUGCCCAACUCAAUUACUCCACAAUCGAAAAGGAGUUGCUUGCUGUGGUUUUUGCUUUAGAAAAAUUUCGCCCUUACCUUGUUGGUUCUAAAGUAAUUGUUUAUUCUGACCAUGCUGCUCUUAGAUACUUGCUCACUAAGAAGGACGCCAAACCUCGCUUGAUCAGAUGGAUUCUCUUGCUGCAAGAGUUCGAUUUGGAGAUUCGAGACAAGAAGGGAUGUGAAAAUGUGGUGGCUGACCAUUUGAGCAGAAUUGCGGUUGAAGAGCAAGGAAAAGCUGUACUACCAUUGAAUGAGACUUUCCCAGAUGAACAACUAUAUGUUGCCCAAGUCAAAGAGCCAUGGUAUGCUGAUUUUGUUAAUUAUCUUGCUUGUGGUGUUCUUAGAAAUGAUCUAACUUAUCAGGACAAAAAGAAGUUCUUUUCCAUGGUGAAACAUUAUGUCUGGGAUGAACCUUUCUUAUUCAAGCAUUGCCCAGAUCAACUCAUUAGAAGAUGUGUUCCAGAAGAAGAACAAGAAAGCAUCCUUAGGCAUAGCCACGAAUUGGCUUGUGGAGGCCACUUUGGAGCCAAGAAAACAGCACUUAAAAUUUUGCAAUCAGGUUUCUUUUGGCCUACUCUAUUUAAAGAUGCAUUUAAUUUUUGUGUUAAGUGUGAUAGGUGUCAAAGGAUGGGAAACAUAAGCCGCAGGAACGAACUGCCAUUGAAGAACAUACUCUUUGUGGAACUCUUCGAUGUAUGGGGUAUUGAUUUCAUGGGACCAUUCCCAUCUUCCUUUGGUUAUACCUACAUACUUGUUGCUGUUGAUUAUGUGUCUAAAUGGGUGGAAGCCAUAGCCACCAAAACCAAUGAUCAUAAGGUGGUCCUGAAGUUCUUGAGGGACAAUAUUUUCACAAGGUUUGGUACUCCAAGGGCUGUCAUUAGUGAUGGAGGCAGCCACUUUUGCAACAAGCUAUUUGAAGCACUCAUGAAGAAGUACAAUAUCACCCACCGAGUCUCUACACCAUAUCAUCCUCAAACUUCUGGUCAAGUAGAAAUAAGCAACAGAGAAAUUAAGCAUAUCCUAGAGAAGGUGGUGAAUAGUACAAGGAAAGAUUGGGCUGCCAAGCUCAAUGAUGCAUUAUGGGCUUAUAGGACUGCAUAUAAAACUCCCAUCGGAAUGAGCCCUUAUCGUCUUGUGUUUGGGAAAGCCUGUCACUUGCCAAUGGAGCUUGAACACAAUGCUUUUUGGGCCAUCAAGAAGUUGAAUUUUGAUCUGGACAAGGCCGGCCAUGUUAGAAAGUUUCAGCUCAAUGAAUUGGAAGAAAUUCGACAUGAGUCCUAUGAGAAUGCAAAGCUAUACAAAGAACAUACCAAGAGUUACCAUGAUAGGAACAUUCAACGGAAAGAAUUCACCAAAGGUAUGUCAGUUCUUUUGUUUAACUCACGUUUGCGUCUCUUUCCAGGAAAAUUGAAGUCUAGGUGGCUUGGCCCAUUCACCGUGGUCAAUGUAUCUCCCUAUGGAGCUGUGGAGAUUCAAAAUCCUAAAGAUGGCUCGACUUUCAAAGUAAAUGGACAACGUUUAAAGCCAUUCUAUGAGGGAGUGUCAGUUGGAAUUCAAACUGGUCAUGUGGUGGAUCAUCUUCCCUUCGUACAAUCAAGUUAGCUAAUGGCAUAAUGUCUUGCCAAGACAUUAAAGGCGCUUCUUGGGAGGCAACCCAUGUGUUGAAGAAUAAGGUGCUUGGUAGCGGUCGACCUAAUCGCAUCAAGAGGGAGUUUCUCUAAUACUUUGUCUUAAACUUUCCCCUUAUUAUUCACAUGUUCUCACUCAUCUUUGUUAUGCUUUAACAUUGAGGACAAUGUUCAAUUCAGGUCUGGGGGGGAGGUUUUCAAUUUUUGUUCAUUUGUGUUUACAAUUUUUGUUCAUUUGCGUUCGCUUGUCACUAUUUUUUUUAUUUAUUUUAAAACAAUUUCAUACAACCAAUGCUAUGGAGCUGCCAUUGAGAUUUUCAUUUCAGAAAUUUUACACUUCACAAAGCUUUUGCUCUUAGAAUUCUGGUGGCUAAAGUACCAUGCUCAGAUUCUUGAAGGAGAAUAGUGGAGACUACCCUAGUGAGCUGUUUCGAGCCUAAUUGCUUUCUUGAGAGGGUUUAAAGUGUUUCUAUUCCUCAUCUCUACUUAUUUUCUUCAAUUCACUCUAAAUGAUCUCAUUGUUCCAUUUUGAUUGAAUACUAAGGAUGAUUCUCUUUGCAGAUAUCAGGUGCGUGCUCUCACCCAUGAAUGAACUCAUUGAAGUGAUGCUAGGCUCUGCGUGUAUAACCAUUUUCUGUGCUUUCUUUUCACCCUACCCAUUCGUGUGUUCCAUCAGCUCUCUUGCAGCCAAACACUACAAGCCUUUUUCUUCUAUCACCCUCAUAAUUCCCCUAACUUUGUAUCUCAAUCAGAGAUAUUUAACCUAUUAUAGCCAUACCCUAUAGCUUAGAAAUAUACCAAGGUGUGCGAAGAUAAAGUUUGAAGCAAGGAGGUUGCUGCCACAUGCCCAAAUGUAAAUUGGUGUGAAUCUAUGCAAUAAAGUUAAAGAAGAAGUAGAUCAAGUCAAAAAAAAAAAAAAAAGAAAGAUAAAGAGAAAGUGUUUCGAUUUGAUCUAAAUGUGAAAUAUAAAGUCUAUGCCAGAUGAUGCUAUGAAGUUGCAGCCAUACUAUUCUAAAUCAAUGAUACCUUGCAGAUCAAUGAAGAAUGCAACCUUGGUAUGUUCUUAAGUUAGUUGUGUUCCUUCCAAUUCUUCCACUUCCCUUAACCUUAGCCUUUCAUUACAACCUUGUGAAAGACCUAGCUGAUCUUUGAGGAUGUAUUCAUGGGUGCUGGUAUGUAUGUGUGUAUCUCUACUCUUAGUAUUUGAUUCCCUUCAUGAGAUCUAACCAAAUAUUGUGCUUCUAUUUCAUAUACUCACUUAUGCUUGUUUGACAGAAUAAAACCAUAGGUUCUGAGUGAUUGAGUGCUAGAUGUGAGAAUUAGAGUUGAAGCAUGUUCUUCCUUCAAGAUUUGAGUAUGUUUACUUUGAAGCCGUGUGCCUUUGAGCUAUAGCUUCCACUUUACACACUUAUUGAUCAUCUAUCUUGGUAACUCUAUGGUGUUGGAUGCAUGAUUAAAGUUUUCUUUCAUUAGUUGUUUUCAAAGUUAGUUUUCUAACCUUUUGGUGUUAGAGAGUCAGUAAAGCAUUUGUGGGUAUCGUUUCUGUUAAACCCUCAGGAGACACAACUCUUCCGAUUAGGGAUGCCGAGAGGUUUAAAGGCUUGUUGCAUAUGCACAUUGCAAUCGAGUUACCUACAGAAGUGGUUUAGUUAACUUCUUGUUUUGUUUUCAACUUUAUUCUCUUUUGUUUUGCUCGAGGACUAGCAAAAUCUAGGUCUGGGGGUAUUUGAUCAGUUCACAAUUGUAUAUCAUUUUGUACCCUUCUAGCUUAUGAUUUGGUUAUGUUAUUGAGUCAAACGUGUGCUUUUAAUCCCUUUUCUGUUUAUCAUUCAGUUCAUUGGGCCUUAGGUAGCAAUGGUGUCUUUGGAUAAGAAAAGAUGCAAAAUGGUGCAAAAACGAGCAAACUGGGUUAGCAACUCAUUUCGGCCUUAACAUCUUUCUCCGAACUUGGAUUGGCCCAAAUAAUAUGUAGUUGGAAAGAUGAGAGUCUGAACUUCAAGAUGGACUACUCAAAUGCAUCAUAUUAUGAAGUUGAACCCAAUUCGUGAGCCCAUAUACACACCAGGCUCAGGAUUGCAGUUUCCAGUUGUUGAGCCUUGGAUACUUUCUUUGAGCCAUGUGACUCACCACAGCUUUCCUUGACUUUAGACCUGACAUGUUGAGCAAUUAAGGGAGGUCUGUCAGCUACUCAAGUGCAGAGGAGAGCCAUGUGACUCACCACAGCUUUCCUUGACUUUAGACCAGACAUGUUGAGCAAUUUAGGGAGCAAUUAAGGGAGGUGUGUCAGCUACUCAAGUGCAAAGGAGCCUUGACUUUAGACCAGACAUGUUGAGCAAUUUAGGGAGCAAUUAAGGGAGGUGUGUUAGCUACUCAAAGGCAAAGGAUUCACUCAAUUGACCAAUAAUUCACUCCAGCCAUCCUAUAUCACUCCAUUCAGCCCAAAAUCAGGAGGAGGAACAACUCCAACAAGCCUUCCUUCCAUUUCCUACGAAUUUGUUCUUUCUCUGCCAUCACCAACCACCCAAACUCAUCCCGAAUCACCUCUUUAGUUGCCAUACUCUAGACAUGAGAAAGUUCUUGGAGUAGCAUUAGAAGUGGAGAAGCACCUGGAGAAGCCUUGGAAACCACAAGCAACUUCAGAAUUGGGUUUCUCUACUCUUAUUGCAUUC